UAGAUCUACCACAUUGAAUAGCUUUCUGAUUCCAUAGAGCUCCCAAACCCAUUCCACAAGUUGAAUUUGGCCUUGUGAUGCCCUGGGUUCGAUAGCUCUUCUUCCACAUGCUAUUUCUAAGAGGACGACUCCAAAGCUGUAGACAUCAGAUUCCUUACUUGUCUUGCCUGUGUAGAUACAUUCAGGGGCCAAAUAUCCCAUGGUCCCAGCCAAUAGGGUCGCAUGUGACCCUUUGGCAUGGUCAACUAUCCGAGCGAGGCCAAAAUCGCCCAAUUUAGCCUCGAAUUGUGCAUCAAGUAGGAUAUUGCUAGACUUUAUGUCCCUAUGCACGACACAUUGCUUCAAAUCCUCGUGCAAAUAUUUCAGCCCUAAGGCGAUGCCUUGAGCGAUAUUGUACCUCUUUUCCCAUGUUAGCAGUGUUUUAUCUUUGAACAAAUGAGACUCUAAGCUACCAUUGGACAUGUACUCAUACACGAGGAGGAACUUGUUUCUCUCAUGACACCAGCCAACGAGCUCCACCAAGUUUUUAUGCCUGAGAUGUCUAAUUGUCUUCACUUCGCUGGCAUACUCCUUUACGCCUUGUUUGGACUCUGGAGUGAUCUUCUUGAUGGCGACAUGGGAAUUUGCAUCAGCAAGGUGGCCUUCAUACACUCCUCCGAAACCCCCUUCCCCGAGCAACCGAGUAUUGGCAAAGUUGUUAGUCGCAAUGGCCAAGACAUUAUAGGAGUACUCCUUGGGUCCCUUUGACUGUUCAAAUCCUUCGUCAAUUCCUGGAGCAUCUUCUUCUUCUUCUCCACUUCGAUCAUUUUUAUUUCUCUUUAGCUUAUAAGCAUACCAGCCAAAUCCUGCAACAAGGAUAAGAAACACCAAAGAGCUUAAGCCUAAGAUAGCCCCCUUCACCCAGGACUUAUUCUUUUUCCCUCGUGUUGGUGUGUUGACAGGAGUCACAUUUGUCGUGCCAUUUACAUUGUCAAGGAUUUGUAGACUAGAGUUGAAUUCCCAUGAGAAAAUUGUAUGAGCCUCAAACGAGUCCCCUGUCGUUGCUGAGAAACCGAAUACCACCCAUUCCGGCAAGUACUCUGUCAGAUUGACUGGCUGAUAGUAAAGGCUGGUAUAAUUGUCAUCAUCGUCUCGAAAAACGACACUCAAGUUCAUUGCUGUAGAAUUGUAUGUGACCCAAGCACGUAGUUCUUGACCAAGGAGUAUCUUGUCAUCCAUCCAUGGGACACAAGCAUUAUUGACAGAAGCCAUGCUGUUUACAUCGAUACCGACAUGAUUACAGGGCGGAUCCCAUGUAUUUGUUAUAUUGUCAUGGAAAGUAUCAAACUCUACCGCAACAAAUGCAGUACUAGAGUUGGUAGAGUUUGGAUUCGGACCUGUGAGGCCUAGAAAGCCUCCUGUUGAUUGUUUGGGGAUCUGCGAUCCACUGGGAGCGAGAAAGAAAGCCAGUCCAUCAGCAUGAGAAGGCUCCUUACGGGAAUUGAUGGAGAAAGUAAAUCUACUGCUGAAAUCUGCCACAUUCCCUGUUGACCUAUCCCACAGGUGCAUGGGUUGAUGAUAGAGAGCUCGACCGACUAUUCCAUUGCUGCUCUCGGUUGCCUGGACUACAGAAAGUUCCAUUGUGGAGCCCAGUGCACUCGCAUUGCCCUGGAAUGAUAUGUCUGAUUGGAAGGAUGUGAAGUAGAAAGAAAUGUUGUCGAAGGAUUCAGAAUUUGCAGAUUGUAUGAUUAUUAAAAAGAAGAGUGUUUGUGCUAUAGCCCUUUCUGUCAAAUGCAUCCUCACUGAGCAGCGAGCCAUUGAGAUUCAGAAGCUGCAACGACGGCUGAUCUCCUUGUUCACUAUAUUUCUCUUCGUGGAAACUGCAUGCAGCCGCACGUGAAAUCCUGAUAUUUGAAGGAACAUGUAGCUAGUCAUCUCAUCAAGUGAAUCAUCAAAUGGAAAUAAAAAGGUCAAGCGUGCAAUCUGGUGAUGAUGUCCAUGAAAAGAAACUGUUCGAGCGAAAAGAAAUCUUUUUUAACUCAUUACAUACGAUAUGCAGGGCAGCAAAGAUUUGAAAGAAGCCAUCUUCGAAGCGCUUCCUCACGAUUCACGAUUAUUUUCCCAAGGAAAAGCCAGCAAAAACCCAUUUGAAGCGCGUCGAAGGGUGUACAGAAGUUAGUUCAAGUUCGAGCACUCCUUUAACCAAUUUUGGCACAAGGAGUCAUCUACCCCAACUCACACGGCGCAGAGCCAUAUUUGCGAUUUUCCCGGAAACAAAUUUUGGGGGUCGGGUGGUUAGGGGGUGCAUACGAAAGAAAAAGUGCAGUGGUUUUAUGAUGAGAUCGCUACGAAUCUGCAAAGUAAGACCAAGAUCUGCCUAGUACUUAAACAACAUCAAGCAUUGCAUUUUCUUUUGUUCAUGGACUAAUUGUUUUUUUUUUUUUUUGAUGCUGAGCAUCCGGCGUAGUUCACCGGGCCUAGCUCACCUUUGGGAGCACAGCACGGGGACUCAUGGACUAAUUGUUUCAUCUUCUGUUCACUAAGAAUAUUGGAACAAAAACUAAAUAGAACCAUUUAUCGUAUUUCAUUCAUAUUACCGCUUUAAUCCUUGAGAUAUGGACAUGAAUGACCCAUGUUCUUUGGUAAGGCCAAUAAUAAUUGUAAAACCGAACUCUGCUCCUGUUUAGGUCAAUAGAUUAAUGUCGACAAGUUCAACUAUCGAACUAACGAACCAACCAUGACCGAUAUUCAGGAGUUUCCGGAUUCAAUAUUAGGCUCACAUUCCUUACCGCUAACACCAAAAUCGAUUUAGAAGUUAGCCCAUGGUACUCGAUCAACCGGUGACACUAUCAAACAGAUAAUGUCUACUUUGGAAAAGAAGAAAUGAAACAAUGUAAGGCGACAGGGGCACAAUAAAAAUGCAGAAUUCUGCAACAACCCAGCAAAAAUGGCAUUAAGAACAAAGAGAAGCAUGGGACAAAACUGAGAAUUCCGAAACUAGAACAAAGUAUUUCUUUUGUUGCCUUUACCUUUGGAGCUUGGAUCGCGGAGGUAGGACUCGUCACAACAAAGCCAACGACCGCUUCACGGCAAGGACGUACAGAAAUGAUAUGAACCAGGUUUGAUUAUGCGGAAGAUAUUUUAGUCGAAUUGACGAAAACCUAGGCAGUACAUGACGGUCAAACUGAAGAAGAAGAAGUCCUCCUUAAGGAAAAGGGAUAGUGCUAAGGAAAGUGACUCCAUUGGGCAUUAUUCGAUGGUUGACUGGAAUUUUGAGUCUGCAUUCCGAGAAAAUAUUGGGUGGUCCGGGACCGCCACGUCAGCGUGGUCCCAGACCACUCACGCGGCGCCCGUGUAUGGGAGGACAAAAGAGAGAAAGAGGAGAGAGAACGUCAGAGAAGUGGGCCCGGUUUCAGUCCUUUGUCCCCUCCCCAUACACGUGACAUUGCGUGAGUGAUCCGAGACCACGCUGACGUGAUGGUCCGGACCACCCAAUAUUUUCCUGUCCUGCAUUCCUAGUACAUUUCUCCUUCUAGAUAGCUACGUUCUUUUUUUUCUUCUCCACUCGUGUGCUGACAAAAGAGGGAAUCCUAACCGUGCCACGCGUUUCCCAACGGACCACAUGUUCCUUUUUUUGUUUUUCACUUUUCAUAGGGUUACUAAACGAAGACUUCCAGGGUUGCUUGACCUGACCUUAAAAAAAAAAGGUUGCUUGACCUAAAAGUCUAACGAUAAAAGGAUCAAUAUUGCCUUUUCCUAGCCAAAAGGCCAUCUUGCAUUGAACACCACUUAAAAUGACAUACUGGCAAAAAUGGAUAAUAAACUGGUACAAUAUCAUCACGAUCCAUCUCGAGGAAGAACGUGGACAUACAUGGAAUUUGUGGACUUUUUUGGGAAGUUUGUUUUAAGAUAUAAAAGGUUCAAAUUGAAAAUUGAAGUUUGCAACAUAUAAAAAAUUUGUUACUGAGGUAUUUUCCCAUGUGAUCAAUUGAAGAGAUUUAAAGAGGAAAAAAAUGAUUGACAUCCCAUAAAAGCAACAUGUCAUCUUUGUUUUAUAUAAUGGCAUGGAUUAGUAGACAUAAUUUAUUAGGUAAAUCUAGCUUCUCAAUGUAUUUGAAUCAAUGUGUCAAUUUUCAUAAUGUUAAAUACAAUGUUACAAGCUAAAGUCAGCCACACCUAAUCUUUGUCUAUUUAGCAACUCCCAAUUAGUUUGCUUUAUUGACUCUGGUUUUGUUCCAACAUGGCUAAGUGCAAGAUUUCUCUAGUAUAGAUGAUCCUCCAUCUAUAUCUUCUAGAAAUUAAAACUAUUCCUAUUGAACUUGUUGAUUUUCACUCUCUUUUUUUCCCCUUUUGUUGCCAUCGAUUUGCUUUAACUCAAUUGAGUUUGGCUUUGAUACCAAUUAUUGCAAAAACAAGCGAUCAAGCAAUAAAAUUUAAAAAUGAGAAAAUAAAUGGAACAUCAUAUCUACGUGAUUCAAUUAGUAGGACUUAUUGACUGAGGACUGCAGCACAAGAUUUUAUGAUAGAUCAAUAGAUAAACUAGAGAUCAUAAUUAUACUUGAGUCAUUAGGUGUUUCCCAACCCAAAAAAUUACACCAAAUAAUUCACAUAGAACAAUAUUUAACCCUCAUAAUUUCUUGCCAAUCAUAUUGAUACCUAAAUUUUGCCUAAACAUUUAUGAUUAAAUUGCAUAGAAAUUUAAGGACUAAUUCGACCUUAAUAAAAAAAGAUUUUCACAUCACAUAGGCAUCAAUAUUAUUUGCAUAGACUAAUUUUUAUUUUUAUUUAUUUUACUACAUUUCGGAUAAAUAUGUAUUAAAUUAAAAAUUAAUUAUUAAUUUUUUUAAAGAAAAAAACGCAAACGCCCACGGGGGCUCGGGUUUCUCUUACCUCAUGCGGGCCUGGGCCCAACUCACCCAGCUCAUUUCCCCAGACCCUUCCUCUUCUCUCCUCCUCCCUCCUUCCUCAUGCAACCAAGGACAAGAGAGCAGACGGCGCAGAGUGGCAAAGAAGCAGAGCAGCGCAACAUGACCGGGGUAGGCGGGCGACGUGACUGGAGCAACUCGCCGGCGGCAGGCCCACCUGCCCCACGUACGGUCGAACGAGUCGUCCGACCCCCAUAAAAGGAGAAACGGGGGGGGGGGGGGGGGGUGUUCCGGUUCGAAGGGGAGGUUUUCGGAGAGAAGGAGAGAGGGAACCGAGAGAGAGGACCCGAGUCGGUGAGAGUCGGCCGAGAAAGAGACAGCGAGAGCUGGGUAGGGCCGCCUCCGGCGAUUAGCUCGCUACCCCUUUUUCUGCCCUGCUUUCUUCGGUCAUAGCCCAAUUGCGGCAGAGGCUUGCCGUCGCUCACGUACACUUAAUCCCAAGCGUCGUCAAGCCUUCCCCGGUCGGUCACUGCCGGGUGCCGCUUGUGGUCUCGUGUCGAUCGUGGUUGCGUUUGCGUAUUCGAGCCUUAAUCGGCUCGGUUCUUCUCUCCCAGUCGGCGCCCGUCAGGUGUUCGAUAAUAUGCUGCCUGGGUUAGAUCUGCUUCCGCGUUCUUGGUUUGGGGCUGGAUCGACGUUCCCUUUGUGUCGUUAAUCCUACGAUCCCGCCGCGAUCCCGAGCUUGGUUGUCGUCCUGCGGCUCCGAUUCCCCUUAUUCUUAGGUUUGGGCUUACUCCGUGGGUUGGGCUUCGUUUUUAUUACGUGUAUUUUGUGGGUGUUGCCAGAACGGGCUCAUUCAUGGAGCCCAGUCUGGCUGAGGGCCCGACCACUCGGGUCAUCUGACCCGAGCCGGUCCCGACCUGGGUCCGGUUGUUUAUGUUGUAAUAGUAUAUUAUUAUUUUAAUUUUUAAUUUUUUUGAAAAAUAUAUGAAAAAUCCGAGAAUAAUUUAUAUUUUCUAAAAAUCAGGAAUAGCUUUAAAAAGGGUUUUUGAGUAGUUUUCUUGUUGACACCUAAAUUUUUGCACAAUUUUUGGGUUAAUUUUUACUAAAAUAAAAAAAAAAGAACACACAUGACAUAUACUUUAGAAACAUUUUUUUUUUAUUUUAGGCCGCCGGUGAAGGGAAGAUUUUUUUUACAUAUUCCAUUAGAUUUUUCAUACUUUUAGGUAAUAUACACUAAGGGGUGUAUUUUGUGCAAAGAGGGGAUUUUUCUAGAUAGAAUAUGCGAGAAACACAAAAGGGAAUAUUACAUGAGGUAUGUAUAUAUCAACAACAUAUUUAGGGGGUAUCAUGCGAGCCAAAAAGGAAAAAAUAUAUGUCGUGAGGAUACAUUUGUUGGACCUAUAAAAUACAUUGCGAGCAAAGUAAAAAUGGCUCUUUCUUUUGGGUGAAAAAGUACACAAAAGUGAAAAGUUGAAAAAGUGACGUGAGAGAGAGACCAAACCGGAAAAAAAAAAAAAAAGCCCCCCACGCAACUGUUCAUCUUCCUCGUUGGGGGUGUCCCUGCUGGCGCCGCCUGCUCGCACCAUCGCCGUCUUGCCCGUCGCCGCCGCUGCUGUGACUCAGCCGCACCCAUGACGCCGGACUGCCACUUCGAACCUCCACCCGCGAGCCCGCGUCGAUUCGAAGCCCCUGCUCUGUUGCGCUCCGCUUGCAACCUCAUCACGACCUCCGAUUGGUGACCCGACACCAUGGAUCCAGUGACCUGACAACCCGAGGUUGCUCUUCGCUUGGCUCGUGACCGACACCAGGAGAUUCGAAGCUCCUGCUUUGCCCACGACGCUGCCCGCCGGUCUCACCGUGCCGCCCACGACGCUCCUUGUUGCCUCACUGCCUCGACGCCAUCUUCGCCUUGCUUUUGCCCGCGCGCUCGGAGUCCCUUGCCCGCGACGCCCACACCCAGACCCGCGAUGCUCCUUGUUGCCUCGUCGCCGUCAUGCCGCUCCCGGUGUCCUCGCCGGAAACCCUCGCCGGCGACUCCCCCCAAAACCAGCAGCCAAGAUUUCCCUUUUUUCUUUAAAAAAAAAAAAGAAAAAAAUUAUUAGGUAUUGUUGCUUUAUUUUAUUAGGCAAGUUUAGGUUUCUUUCUGUAUUUUUUAAUUAUUAUAUUUUUAUAUGUUGUUUUCUUUAAUUGAAAUACCUAUCUAUGCAUAAUUGAAAAUCCCAAUAUAUCAUCUGAUUUGCAAUUGCGCCAGGGUUUUUUUAUUUCAUCUAUAAAGCUUUAGAUGAAAUAUAUGAUCAAAUUGAAAUAAAAUUGAUAUUUUGAUCUUUAAGGUUUAAAAUCAAUUUAUUGAUUUUACUAGCGAAAUAUUAUCCCUUGAUCUGAACUGUGAUUUUUUUUUUUUUUUGUAAUUUUGAAUGGACUUGAUUGCUUUAUUUAUCUUGAAAUAUGCCUUAGUUAGAAUAUUGCAUGUUUUAGGGUUAUUUGCAUAUUUAGGCUAAGUAUUUUAUUUAUCAUGAAUUUUCGAAAAAAAAUCAAAAUUCAAAUAAAUCAAUUUAGAUUGCUAGAUUUUAAUUUGGAUUGCAUGUUUAAUUAUUUGGCAAUUAUUAAUUUCGAAAAUUAAUAAAAAAAAAACAACAAAAAAAUCAUCAUGCAUAUGUUAUGUAGAAUUAGGGCAUAUUUUGUACGUCAUUGCAUAUUAGGGUUAAAUUGCACUUAGUUUAAUUUUAGAUAAUACUUUUUCAUAAUUUAUUAUAAGUUUAGGUAUUUUUAGAUAUAUUGCAUUUUAGGAUUAUUUUGGUUAAGAUAAUAUUUUAGUUGAAAUUAGGAUUUGGCUCAACCUAAUUCCUAAUAUAAAUUAAAUAGGAUCUUAAUUUAGUUAGGUAAUUUUCACAUUUCACCAAAUUUGAAUUUCAUGAAAAAUACAAAAAAAUGUCAUAGGCUAAAUUAGUUUUAUUAUUUAGGAUCAAAUGCAUUCUUUUUGGAAAAAGAAAAAAGUGUCAUAUGCAUGUCAUUAGGGUUAGAUUCACUGAAAUGCUCAUUUAAUUAGAAAUUACAUGUCAUUAAAAUUAUGUUAUUUAGUUAAUAUUGCAUUGCAUAUUGCAUGAUUUUCAUUAAUUAAGUUAAAACAAAAAAAGAAAUUGCGUGUUAAUUAGAAACCGUUGAUGUGAAUUUUAAUUUAACAUUAACUUUGAGAUAAGUUUUUGUAAUUUAUUUAUUGUUUAUCUGGAUGUUAAAUUGAUGGAUUGCGUACCCGCAUGAAUUAUCUCAUAUGUUAGGGAAAUAGAUUUAAAAUUGAUUUAAGUUGUCUGCGAAAACAUUUUUGAAAAUAAAAGAAUGGUACCAAAAGGACAUUAGAAAAAUUUAGUGGUGGAGUUUCAGUUCCUUUCGGGAAAGGUCUAGAGUUCGAAUCUCUGCGUCGUCUGCCUUGUCGGAAAGGAACUCACAACUUGUCCGGGGCAGAAAGGGUGAUGGUGACUCUUAUGCUCUUCCAGGGUUUAUUCCGCCGCAAAAUGGCGCACGGAGGUUUUCUGGGUACAAAAAAAAAAAAAAAUCUAGUGUAACCAAGUCCCCGUACCUAUAGUUUCUGGUUCGUAGGAGUAAAGUAAACUCCCGUUACUUUACUCGGGUUUCUAAUCGACUCACCAAAAAUAAAUUAGUAGCGACUCCUAAAUAAAGUAUAUAUACAUGUUAAGAAUUUGAACAUAAGUAGCGAAUUGAUAUGGGUUUGGGAGAACCCGAGUUAAGUCUAAACUUAAUAAGCCAUUAGCCAAAUUAUAGGUGGUUUACCCAAAAUUUUUGUUGCGCCAUUUCUUUAAAAGUGCAUGAAAAGUAUUUCAAAAUAAUCAAAUCUCAAAGCUUAAAUAAGAUUAGGUAAUGUAAGGUAUUAAUUAAUUGACUGAUAUAAUCAAGUUUUCGAUUCUAAUUUUUCAAUUUCGUAAGAGUAAAGUAUUUAUCUUAAUACUUUACAUAGAUUUCUAAUCGACCAAUCACAAAUCAAUUAGAGGUGACUUUUAUGAAGAUGAUUUGUAGGUUAGACUUGGCCCAUAAGUCACGAAUUAGUGGGCUUAGAAGAUCUCUGGCUAAACCUAGACUUAGCAAGCCAUUAGUAUCCAUGCCCACGGGAGUGUUCAAAGAGGUCGUGACAAAUCUCACAAAAGAAUUCAUUGUUAUCACUACAAGAUUUAUGAAGUUGAAUAUUGAAAGCUCAUCUCGAAUACAAUUCGUGCAGAAGGUCCACUUCUUAUAUGUACUACAAUUUGAAUUUUAUCCAAAAUAGGAAAAUCCCUUUUGAGAAUCCCACUCAGAUUAUAAAACCUACUUGCCUAAGGAUUUCGGGGUUAAACUUGAGACCUGUAUUCAAGAUGACGCAGCUUUCUCAUAAUUCCGCCGUGUUGAAUUUUUCCACCAAUUCUCCAAGAAAAGCUUAGGCUCCUCUAGGAUUAACAUUGUUGGAGAAAUCGUUCCAAAAUAUUUUGAAGCUGACAAAAUGUUUUCUUCAGUCUAGUCUGGGUAUCUGCAGAUCGUCUAGUUUAAAGUUUGAAGACUUUAUGACUACCAAACUCAAGAUUCAAGACUCAAGAUUCGAGACUUAAGACUCAAGACUCAAGACUAUUCUCAUUGACAGUCUUUCUGAUCCAGUGACGAAGGAAAUCCAGAGCCGAAGUAUAUGGUUGAGGAUUUAAUCCUAUCGUCUGGAGAAGAUUUUUUUUGGUUGGAUAAAUAUAACGGAUUCUUUUGUUCAUAUCUAGAUCAAUUGAAGAUCCGAUAGUCGACGAAGUAUUCUUGGAAUGUUCUAUUUUUGGAAACCAAGAUCCUGAUUGUAUGGGCGAACAUGAUUGAUGGGCUAUCAUCAGGUUCUUUUUAUAGCUUGAAUGAUCUUCUUGAUUGAUUCCGUCCAAAUAGGUAGAUUGGAGGAAUUCCUUUGGUAAGUGCCAACGGUAUGAUGGCAUAAAGGAGUAUAAAAAGGAAGACGUUCUAGUUGUUUAAAAACGUGAUUGAUAGAAAAAUUCCAGAGUCUGAAGCACCUUGAUUAUUAGUCGAUACAGUCUGAGCGAAAUUGUAUACACAGAGAGUGUCUAUACUUGGUGAUACCUUGAGCGAGUGUGGUAGAUCAUCUAUACCGAGAAAUCAAGGAAGAUCAACACUGUAACAUCUCUUUGUUCAUAGUGGAAUCCAGCCAAAUUGGCUGUCAGUGCAGAAGAGUGGACGUAGGCUUGAAUCAAGCCAAACCACUAUAAACCGCGUAUUUAAUUCUCUCUUUCCUUACUUAGUCUUACAUUGAUUAUUACUCUUCGCAAAUCCUUCAACUGUCUAAAGUAUUGCGCAAGUAUACAGAAAUUAUCAAGAAAAAUCUUUGUAUACCUAUUCACCCCCUUCUAGGUACUCGUACUAGCAAUAUUAAUUGGUAUCAGAGCCCGUGUUCUUACUUUGUUUGAAGUGUUUUACUUCAGAGUAAAAGAUCCAUGGCUAGUAUGCUAGCACCAGGGCUGAUGGAAGGGCAAAGCAAUACCAGACCACCCUACUUUGACGGAAAGGAUUACAACAUCUGGAAGAACAAGAUGAAAGCUUUCCUACGAUCCAAGGAUCCUCUGGAAUGGGACGUUGUGGAAAGAGGAAUUACUCCUACUGCUGCAUCAAUCUGUGAAAGAGGAAAAGAAACUGUUGAUGCCAGCGGAAUGACUCAGGAAGAGAUAAACAAGAGACAAGCACUUGAUGCAAAAGCAAUUUAUUCUUUAUAUUGUGCCUUAUCUCCAACUAAAUAUAACAGAAUAUCUUCUUGUGUUACAGCAAAAGAAGUAUGUGAUAGAUUACAUAUCACCUAUGAAGGGACGGAUCGAGUGAAGGAGACCAGAAUUAACAUUCUCCUCGGUCAAUAUGAAGCAUUCAAAAUGAAACCAGGAGAAUCUAUAACUGACAUGUUUAGUCGUUUUAUAGAUAUUGUCAAUGGUCUUGAGAACCAAGGACAAAAAAUUUCUGAUCCCAUGAAGGUGAACAAGCUACUGCGUGGACCCUCCAAGGAGUGGAAUCAUAUAAAGACUUCAAUAAGAGAAACGCAAAGAAUUAUGCCUUUAUCUGUCGACGAGCUGAUUGGAACUCUUCAAUCAUAUGAAGUGGAACGAAUUAAUGAAGAAGAAGAUCCAAGAGGUAAGAAAUCUAUUGCAUUAAAAUCAAAUGAUGACUCUGAUGAUGCAGAUUCUGAAGAUGAUAUGGACGAUGAGGAGCUCGCCCUCAUGAUAAGAAGAUUCAGAAAACUGAAUAGAAAAGGCAGAAGGUUCAACUCAAAGAAACAAAGUUUCCAGAGACAGCAGACCAAGUCUGUUGAUGAUGAGGAACCAAACAAAGAUGUAGUUUGCUUCGAAUGUAAGAAGAAAUGACACAUCAGACCCAACUGUCCUCUUCUGAAGAAGAAAAUAGGAAAAGCUGAGAAGUUUCGAAAAGCUCUCAAAGCCGAAACUUGGAGUGAUACAAAAUGUGAAGAAAGUGAUAAUGAAUAUGCCAACAUAUGUUUGAUGGCACAUUCAGACUCAGACUCAGAUUCUGGAUCAGACUCAGACAGUGAAUUUGAGGUAAGUGAUUUUAAAAUUCCUGUCAAAGUCUCUAAAUAUAUUGAUGAAUUGUGUUUCAGUCUUAAAACUUCUCUCAAAAGGAUUUCCGAACUUAAAAAGGAAAACUCAGCUCUAAAACAAAAGGAAGUCAUUUUAGAAGAAAGAGUUAAAAGUCUAGACCUAAAUGUUUCUGCUCUUAAAGAAAAAGAAGAUGAUCUUUUGAAAGAAAAUGUUUUCUUAAAAACGGACUUAUCAAAUAUUUCAAAGAAGUUUUCGAUAGGAUCCGAAAAGCUUGAAAAAGUUCUUUCAGUUCAAAGACCUUACUUCAAUAAGUCUAGUCUAGGCAUGACAGCGGAAACAAUUCCCUUGAUUGAUUUUCCUAAAGUUAAAGAAAAAAUAAAGAAAAGACCGUCGAGAGAGGCUUACAAAAAUCAUUUCAAGAAAGUUUUUGUAAAGUCUGUUGGUCGAAAUGCUCUAAGGUGUUCAAAGUGUAAAAGUAAGGAUCACUUUGAAAAAGAGUGUCCUAUGAUUUGGAAGCCUGUUAAGAAAGUAUGGCCUAAUAAUGUUUAUCCUACUAACACCAAAGGACCCAAGAAAAUUUGGGUACCAAAAGAAAAUUUGAGACUCUCUUUUAAAUACAGGUCUCCGUCAAGAAAAAGAUAAAAUGGUAUCUUGAUAGCGGAUGUUCAAGACACAUGACAGGAGACUCAAAGUGCUUCGUAAAGCUUGUUCAAGUAAACGAUGGAAAUGUUUCAUUUGGAGGAAACGGCAAAGGAUGCAAUGUGGGAUUUGGAAUUGUGAAAAUUGGAAAUCUCACAAUAAGCAAUGUUUCUCUAGUGGAAGGACUCAACUAUAACCUCCUCAGCAUUAGCCAACUGUGUGAUACUGGUUUCAAGAUCUCCUUUCAAGAAGGAAUUUGCUAUGGAAUUAGUAAAGACUCUACUCAGUCUUUCAUGGGUCGAAGACAUGGAAACAUCUACCUCUUAGACAUGAAAUUGAAUGAAUCUCAAUGCCUAAUUUCAAUCCAAGAUGAAGCAAGCUUAUGGCACAGAAAGCUUGGCCAUGUCAAUAUGAAGCAAUUAGCCAAAAUCUCAUCAAAGCAGCUUGUUCGAGGUCUACCCAAAUUACCAAAUCAAAAGUCCGAUCCAUGCACACCUUGUAUUAUGGGAAAACAGGUAAGAAACUCAUUUAAGCCAAUAAAUCAUGUCUCUACUAAUCAUUUACUACAGUUGCUGCAUAUGGAUCUCUUCGGACCAACCAUAACCCAGAAUAUUGGAGGUAAGAAAUACUGCCUAGUAAUUGUGGAUGAUUACUCCCGCUUUACUUGGGUAUAUUUCCUUGCAAGUAAGUUAGAAACCUUUUCGUAUUUUGAAAAAUUUGCUAAAAAGGUUCAAAAUGAAAAAGGAUGUGUUAUCUCAAGUAUAAGAACAGAUCAUGGAGGAGAAUUUGAAAAUUAAGAUUUAACAAAAUUGUGUAAUGAAUCUGGAUUUAAGCAUGUGUUCUCCUCUCCAUACACUCCUCAGCAAAAUGGAGUUGUGGAAAGAAAGAAUAGAUCUCUUCAAGAAAUGGCUAGAACUCUUCUAAUUGAAAGUAAAAUUUCUUCACGAUUUUGGGCUGAAGCUGUUUCAACAGCUUGCUAUAUCAUCAAUAGAGUCUUCCUAAGACCUAUUUUUGAGAAAACCCCUUAUGAAUUAUUCAAAGGUAAAAAACCUAUUGUUUCAUACUUUCACGUGUUCGGUUGUAAAUGCAUUAUAUUGAAAAAUGCAAAAGAUCGAGUUGGUAAGUUUGAAGAAAGAUCAGAUGAAGGCAUCUUCCUUGGAUAUUCUACAUCAAGCAAAGCCUACAUAGUCUAUAACAAGAAGAGCCAGACGGUGGAGGAGUCAAUGAAUGUCAAAUUUCAAGACUCUAAGCAAGAUGAAUCCAGUCAUACUCAAUAUGAAGAGUCUGAACCUGCUCCAGACCUUCCUAAGCUUACAACUCAAAAAGUAUCUCAGACUCUGGAAGACCAGCAUCAAGAUGUUCAUGAAGAUUCAAAUAAAGAAAGAGAUCAUCAUCCAGACAAAUCAACUAGUAACUAGAAGCACAAGUCCAGUCAUCCUAAAGAUCUCAUUAUAGGCGAAAUUAAUGAAGGAAUUCGCACCAGAUCCAAAAGACGUGAAGAGUCUAGUGCUGUGGCUCUCAUCUCUGAAAUUGAACCAAAAAGCAUAGAAGAAGCUUUAUCUGAUGAAAGCUGGAUCGAAGCUAUGCAAUAAGAGCUCAGACAGUUCAACAUUAACGAUGUCUGGGAAUUGACAUCUAAACCAAAAGGUAAAAUUGUUAUUGGAGUCAAAUGGGUGUUCAGAAACAAGAUGAACGAAAAAGGAAAAGUCGUACGGAAUAAAGCAAGACUCGUGGCCAAGGGAUACACGCAAGAAGAAGGAAUAGACUAUGAUGAGACUUACGCUCCUGUAACAAGGUUAGAAGCUAUUCGUCUAUUACUUGCGUUUGCUUGUUACAAAAAUUUCAGGUUAUUCCAAAUGGACGUCAAAAGUGCUUUCCUAAAUGGAUUUAUCCAAGAGGAAGUUUAUGUGGAACAACCGCCUGGAUUUGAAGACCCAAAGAAGCCAGACUGAGUCUUCAGGCUGAAAAAGGCCCUGUAUGGUCUAAAGCAAGCACCUCGAGCUUGGUACAACAGACUAAGUAAGUUCUUAUUACAGAACGGCUUUGUUAAAGGUAAAGUAGAUACUACUCUAUUCAUCAAAAAGGAAAACAAAAGCUUUUUACUCAUUCAAAUAUAUGUUGAUGACAUUAUUUUUGGAUCCUCUAAUGAAAGUCUAUGCAAGAAAUUUUCUAAGUCUAUGCAUGAUGAGUUUGAAAUGAGUAUGAUGGGAGAAUUAACAUUCUUUCUUGGCCUUCAAAUAAAGCAAUUGAAGGAAGGAACUUUUAUUUUCCAAGAAAAAUAUGCUAAUGAUCUUGUCAAAAGAUUUGGAUUGGAAAAUUGCAAGAAGACUGAUAUAUCAAUGUCAAGUUCUUUGAAGAUAGACAAAGAUGAGGAAGGGAAGAAAGUUGAUCAAAAGCUGUAUAGGAGCAUCAUCGGUUCACUUCUUUAUCUUACUGCUUCUAGACCUGACAUUUUGUUAAGUGUUUGCAUCUGUGCUAGGUUUCAAUCAGAUCCUAGAGAAUCCCAUCUCAGUGCUGCAAAACGUAUUAUUAAAUGCAUUGCUUCAUCUUCAAGCAUUGGUAUUUGGUAUCCUAAGAAGGGAGACUUUAAUCUUCUAGGAUAUUCAGACGCAGAUCUGGCCGGCUGUAGAGUAGUUAGAAAGAGUACUUCAGGAACUUGCUAGUUGCUUGGAAGUAGGACAGUGUCUUGGUUUUCAAGAAAACAAAGCACUGUAGCUCUCUCAACAACAGAAGCAGAGUAUGUUGCCCUUGGAAGCUGCUGUUCACAAAUUCUAUGGAUAAAACAACAGCUACAAGACUUUGGGAUUGAAGACUCAUGCACAGAAAUCAAAUGUGACAACACCAGCGCAAUCAAUCUCACCAAAAAUCCAAUUCUUCAUUCAAGAGCAAAGCAUAUAGAAAUUCGACAUCACUUUAUUAGAGAUCAUAUUCAAAGUGGAGAAAUCUCGAUUCAAUUUGUUGAUUCAAAAAGUCAACUAGCGGAUAUAUUCACAAAGCCUUUGGAGAAAAAUCAAUUUGAUUUUAUCCGCUCUAGACUCAACAUUUUGAAGCUCGAAGAAGUUAAAGUCUAGAGACUCUCCAACCUUCAGACUCAGAAAGUUGAUAACCGUCAGACUCAAAUAUCUCAGACUCAAAUCUCUACGACUCAGACGUUGAUGACUAUAGACUGUAAGUUGUUACUUUAUCUAAACUCGAAAAGGUAUGAUCUUUCGUUUGUAGUCUCUGUGAAAAUCGAAAAACUUGUCUUUUCAAAAGGAUUAAUUUUGGCAGUUAUUGAUUUCGAAAAGAGGUAUUCGUACACUUUCCUUGUACCGAUUGAACUUCCCCUUUUCAAAACUGAGUUAUAUAUACACAGUUUUUUCUUUCAAUCUUCAAAACCCUAAAAGCAUUCUCCUCUCAAUUUGGUUUAUACUUCGAAUUCAUCCUCGAGAAAGUUGUCAUCUUUUCUUGGGAAAGCAAGCAAAGGAAUCUCUCAGCAACAAGAAGAAUGUCUUCUUCGAGGAAGUCUUCAAGAAUCGCGACAAGGGGACCAUAGAGGAUGAAGGCGGGACCUACCCACUUCGAUCUCACAGAGGAGGAAGAACUAUCGAGUCAGCAUCAGAACCCGACUCAUUCUCCACCACGUCAUUCAACGCCUUCUACCCCACAAGGUGCGGGUUAACAUCCGGAGGAAGAGAUAAUCGAGGACGCAGACCCAGUAAGAGUCCAAAAACCCUCAUUUACUUACAAACUUUACUGUGCGUUGAAAAGUACCGCGACUCCGAUGAAAUAUGUGGAUGAUUUUCUUAAAGAAAAGAACUAUGGGAAUGAGUAUAUCUUUCUGAAGAAAAUGGAGGAUUUGGGAAUUGCUCCCAAAGGUAAAGCAGAGGAAGCACUUGCGAAUAUUCCAAGUGAUCCUCGUAUGUCGGGACCAAAUUAUGACAAAAUGUUCACUGAUUUUCAACCGAGAAUGGAUGUUGCUGCGAAGGUAAAUGGAAAGAGGAUGGAGUUAUUUAAAUCGAAGGAACAGGAAAAUUUGUUCUUCAAACUGCUGAAACGAGGGGUGAUAAACCCUAGGAGUGUCGAUUUCGAUUUCUUGGAUGCUGUGAAUGUGAACUUGAGAGAGAAGUUCAGUCUGCUUCAACUGGAACGUUUUUGCACUGACACCACGGAUGGAUAUGCACAACUGACUGCAUAUUUCUAUUCAAAUCUUAGCUUUAUCGAUGCGAAUAGAAUAUCUUUCAGUGUUCGAGAUCAGGAUUAUGUGUUGGAUGUGGACAUGUUGGCGGACAUAAUUGGAGUUGAACGAUGACGUUAUCAACCAGUCAAAGUCUCAGUUGCUCGUGCCACAAUGGACCUUGUCGAAGAUAGAAAUAUUGAGGGAAAAAUCAUCUAUUCAAGGAUGCGUGCCAUCAACAUUGUGUUGCACAAAAUUGUUAUCAAUUGCAUUAGGCCGAAGUCUACAUCAAAGACUGAUGUGUCUAAUUCUGAAGCAAAAUUGAUGUACGCAAUCAACUCCGGGAAGAAGUUCUCUCUCCCUCACACUAUUCUCUUUCACAUGUACAGAGCAAUGUCGAAAGACAAGGGACAAUUGCCUUAUCCAGGUCUAGUGACCAAGAUCUUCAGACACAUGAAUAUUGAACCUCCACACACUCUUUGUGUUCGACCGUGCGAUAAGAUGGUGGUAGGAUUAAAGAUGUUGACAAAGAUGCGUCUGAAAGAACUUUCUAAGGCAAUGGAGAAAUUCAGAGUGAAGACUCCAGUUCCGUCUGCUUCAAAAAGAAAGGGAAAGGAAGCCAUUGGUGCCCCAUCCAAAAAGAAGAGAACUCUCAUCUUGGAGGAUGAAGAUGAGGAGGAAGAUCUCACAAUCACUGCCUUGAUAAGGACAAAACGUUAUGUUCCCCAAUCAACAGAACAACAGAAGAAACAGAGAGAAGAAGAAGAAAAAGACAAGAACAGAGAAGAAAAAGAGCAGAGAGAGAAGGAGAAAGAAACUGAAGAAGAAGGAGAAGAAGAGCAAGAAAAGUCUGCCGCUGAAUCUGGAGAGAAGGAUAUAGAAAAGCAUGAUCAUCACUCUUCCCCUCUUGAUGUCCUAGAGACAGGGGGAGUUGGCGAGCAAGAAAGGUCCUCACCUCAUGCUGCCAAUAGUGAAAAUCUAAGACAAUCUCCAGCAGCCCCAGAAGAAUUUCAGGCUUCUCAAUUGCCUGAAGAAGGUCACGAUACGUCAGAACCAAAUCUGCAAGACUUUACAGAAGAGCCAUCGUCUGCAUUCACUCCAUCUAAGAAAACAAAUGCUAGCACACAGAUAGAUAAUUCUGCAGAUUUUCGUCGUAUUAUGGAUAUUCUUCUGGAAAUGCGUGGCCAAAUCUAUGCUCUGGACUGUGAAAUUCAAGCCUUGAAGACUGCUGGACAAGCAUCUUCAGUUACCCUAGAUGAUAAAAUGAAAGACCUCGCUCUACAACUUCAAGCCAAUGCCAAAGGAGAGGAGGUAACACAUCUAAGGGAGGACUUGAAGAGGCUAGAAGGAGUAGUUCAGUCCAUGGGAGAUUUCCAGAUCGUGCGCAUUCCCAAGCAAACAUGACUCCUUUCUCACCUUUUUUUAAUGAUGACAAAAAAGGAGGAGAAGCAAUUUGAACCAACCAACCAACCAACUUUCUUUAUUUUUUGUUGAAUAUGUUUGUUUAUGACUUGAGUAAACUUGGGUGUAAACUUGAUCUUGACUGAAUUGGCUGUGGAUUUAGAUGCUUAACUGUUUGUAUUUACUUCAAGUAUUGUUAUAUGGUAUUACUCAUGAAAGACUAACCAAUUUUCUGUGGAUGCAGAGUCUGGUUGUUUUGUUAAAUUUUAUGAGAUAGCCAUAUUGCUUGAGAAAUUUUUUUGCAGGUCAAAGUGGUUCAAAUCUACAGGAAAGUUUUGUCACCAUCAAAAAGGGGGAGAUUGUUGGAGAAAUCGUUCCAGAAUAUUUUGAAGCUGACAAAACGUUUCCUUCAGUCUAGUCUAGGUAUCUACAGAUCGUCUAGUUUAAAGUCUGAAGACUUUCUAACUACCAGACUCAAGAUUCAAGACUCAAGAUUCGAGACUUAAGACUCAAGACUCAAGACUAUUAUCAUUGACAGUCUUUCUGAUCCAGUGACGAAGGAAAUCCAGAGCCGAAGUAUAUGGUUGAGGAUUUAAUCCUAUCGUCUGGAGAAGAUCUUUUUUGGUUGGAUAAAUAUAACGGAUUCUUUUGUUUGUAUCUAGAUCAAUUGAAGAUCCGAUGGUCGACGAAGUAUUCUUGGAAUGUUCUAUUCUUGGAAACCAAGAUCCUGAUUGUAUGGGCGAACAUGAUUGAUGGGUUAUUGUCAGGUUCCUUUUAUAGCUCGAAUGAUCUUCUUGAUUGAUUCCGUCCAAACGGGUAGAUUGGAGGAAUUCCUUUGGUAAGUGCCAACGGUAUGAUGGCAUAAAGGAGUAUAAAAAGGAAGACGUUCUAGUUGUUUAAAAACGUGAUUGAUAGAAAAAUUCCAGAGUCUGAAGCACCUUGAUUAUUAGUCGAUACAGUCUGAGCGAAAUUGUAUACACAGAGAGUGUCUAUACUUGGUGAUACCUUGAGCGAGUGUGGUAGAUCAUCUACACUGAGAAAUCAAGGAAGAUCAACACUGUAACAUCUCUUUGUUCAUAGUGGAAUCCAACCAAAUUGGCUGUCAGUGCAGAAGAGUGGACGUAGGCUUGAAUCAAGCCGAACCACUAUAAACCGCAUGUUUAAUUCUCUCUUUCCUUACUUAGUCUUACGUUGAUUAUUACUCUUCGCAAAUCCUUCAACUUUCUAAAGUAUUGCGCAAGUAUACAUAAAUUAUCAAGAAACAUCUUUGUAUACCUAUUCACCCCCCUCUAGGUACUCGUACUAGCAAUAUCAAACAUCUCCAAGAUCCUAGUUUUAUAGGUGGUAGUUGAAGUUUGUGGCCAAGUUAAAAGCCCGAAAAAGAUCUCCGACAAACGAAGAGAUAUGUUGCGUGUAUAAGUCGAUGGAUUCAGCCCAUAAAUAGGGAAUGCCGUUCGGUCAUGUAUACAACAGAGAUCAACCAAAUUUUUUUUAUUCAUAAGCUUGUAAUCCUUUCUCAAUAUUCCUUUUCACCCUUUGCUGUGUUGUCCCAAAACACUCAAACACGCAUUGUCACAUCAAAAUCCAUAUCAAAUACUACCACGGAUAUCUCACAUAAUAUGGAGCAAACAGAGACUGUAAACUAAAGGUCUGCUUGCAUAUAUUACAAAUCAUAGAACUAAAUUGUUGCAAUUCAGAACCCAUAUAAACAGUGAACUCACACUGUGCUUCGAAGCAAUGCAGAAGAAGAUAAAUUGAAAGACUUCUAGGAAGAGCUAGUAAAUGCAGACAGUUCAGUACGUAAGCGCUCGGUGGUUCACUACUUUUGAAGCUGAUGGACAUGACAUGCGACCAUUUGGGCGUCGAAGAUGAAGGCACGACAUAUGUUGAGAUGGGCAACUUUGAUGGGAGAAUGGGUGGGGAAGCAUCAAAGUUCAAAAAGGUUAUCGCUUUGCUUAUGGGAGGUUGUUCCUUAGGGUCUGGAUGAGCACAUUAGAGGCCUACAAUUAUCAAGCACUCCAAUUGUCUCACGUCAAAAUUUACAUUGAACUUCGGAUCUGCUGCAUCAAAUAGCUUUCCGAUUCCGUAAAGGUCUCAGACCCAUUCCAUGAGUUGAAUCUGGUGCUCUCGGUUCGAUAGCUCUUCUUCCACAUGCCUUGCAUGUAUAGAUACAUUCAGGGGCCAAAUAUCCCAUGUCUCGGCCAAUAUGGUUGUUUGUGAUCCUUUGGUGUGAUCAACUAUCCAAGCUAGGCCAAAAUUGCCCAAUUUAGCCUCGAAUUGUGCAUCAAGUAGGGUAUUAAUAGACUUUAUAUCCCUAUGCACGACACAUUGUUUGUUGCCAUGGUCAACACGCCAUAGGAGUAUUUCUUGGGUCCCGUCGACUGUUCAAAUCCUUCAUCAAUUGAUUGAAAAUCAUCUUCUUCUCCAUUUGGACCAUUUCUAUUUCUCCUUGGCCAAUAACGGUACCAGCCAAAUCCUGCAACGAAGAGAACCAAGACAAAAGAGCGUGAACCUAAGAUAGCUCAUACCCAUGACCUGUUCUUUUUUCUUUGAAUCGUACCACCCGUUGGUGUGUCGGGGACUUGAAGAGUGGAACUGAAAUUCAAUAAGAAAAUAGUAUGAGACUUGAAAUAUGUUCCCGUUGCAGCUGAGAAACCGAAAUUUACCCAUUCUGGCAAGUUGUCCGUCAGAUGGGCUAGAUGAUAGUGGAGGUUGGUUGAAUUAUUAAUAGAACCUGCGAAAACAACACUCAAAAUUCUUUUCCGUAGAAUUAAAUGUCACCUGAGCAUGAAGUUGUUCACCGUUGAGUAUGCUGUACUUUACCCACGGGACACAAGCGUGAUGGACAGAAACCAAGCUAUCUACAUCGAUACCAACAUGAUAACAGCCUGGAUCCAGUCCAUUAUUUGUGAAAGUAUCGAACUCUACUGCAACAAAUGCAAGACCGGAGUUGGUAGAGUUCGUGAGGCCUAGAGAGCCUCCUUUUGAGCCUUCAGGAAUCUGUGAUCCAUGGGGGGCGAGAAAAAAAGCCAAUCCAUCAGCAAAUUCCGUGCGGCUCUUAGAAUCGAUAGCAAAAGUAAAUCUACUGGUGAAAUCUACCACAUUCCCUGUUGACCUAUCCCACAGGUGCAUGGAUUGAUCAUAGAGAGCUCGACCGACUAUUUCAUUGCCCCUCAUGGCUGCCUUGACUAAAGAACGUUCCAUCGUGGAGCCCAGUGCACUCGCAUUGCCCCGGAAUGUUAUGUUUGAUUGGAAGGAUGUGAAUCAUUAAUUGGGGAUGAAAAGGUCAAGCGCGCAAUCUGGCGAUGAUUAUUAAAAAGAAGAGUGUUUGUGCUAUAGCCCUUUCUGUCAAAUGCAUUCUCACUGAGCUGCGUGCCAUCGACAUUCAGAAGCCAUCUUCUAAGCGCUUCAUCACGAUUCGCGAUCAUUUUCACAGGGAAAAGCCAGCAAAAACCCAUUUCAAGUGUGUCCAAGGGUGUACAGAAGUUAGUUCAAGUUCGAGGACUCGUUUCACCAAUUAUAGUCCAAGGAGUCAUCUACCCCAACUUGCACAGCGCAGAGUCAUAUUCGCGAUUUUCCCGGAAACAAAUUUUGGGAGUCGUCUGGUUAGGAGGUGCAUAAGAAAGAGAGAGUGCAGAGGUUUUAUAAUGAGAUCACUACGAAUCUGCAAAGUAAGGCCAAGAUCUGCUUAGUACUUAAACAAUAUCAAAUUGCCAAGCAUUGCAUUUUCUUUUGUUCAUGGACCAAUUGUUUCGGUCUUCUGUUCACUAAGAAUAUUUGCACAAGUACUAAAUAGAACCAUUUAUCGUAUUGCAUUAAUAUUACCGCUUUAAUCCUGAGAUAUGGACAUGAAUGACCUCAUGCUAUUAGGUAAGGCCAAUAAUAAUUGUAAAACCGAACUCUGCUCCUGUUUAGGUCAAUAGAUUAAUGUCGACAAGUUCAACUAUCGAACCAACGAACCAACCAUGGCCGAUAUUCAGGAGUUUCCUGAUUCAAUAUUAGGCCGACAUUCCUUACCGCUAACACAAAAAUCAAUUUACCGAACUCUGCUCCUGUGAUGGGUCGAUAGUAAUCCUCAAUCUAUACCUUCUAGAAUUCAAAACUAUUCCUAUUAAACUUGUUGAUUUUCACUUCUUCUUCUUCUUUUUUCCUUCUGUCACCAUUGACUUAGAGUAAAAAAAAGAAACACAAAAAAGUUGUUUCUUGAGAAAAGAAACACUUAUUCGAAGGCAAAAAAGAACAAAAACGAAAAGAACAAAAAACAAAACCGAAACAAAAUUGGAGCAAAAAGAACACACCGGCUGAAGCUUCUCCUUCGUGCGUGCUCGUGCUCUCGGCUGAAGCUUCGUUCUAGUGCUCUCCCUUUUCCGGCGUCUCUCCCAUCUCUCCGGCGGCUCCCACUCGGCUGAGUCUCCGGCGACUCCUCACUCCGGUGACUCACUGGCUGAAGCUUCCGAAUCCAGGUACGUUUCUGGUGCUCCUCCUUCUCCGGUCGACGAUGGGCUUCGGCGCGGCAGAUCUGGGACGCUUGCUUGAGGCUGCCGACGGCAGAUCUGGGAUGGCUCCCUCGAGCCUCAAGCGAGCGUUGCUCGCCCAGAUCUGCCGCAGAUCUGGGACGGCUGCUCGCUCUCGAGCGAGCUCUCUGCCAGCUCGAGCAGCAGCUCGAGCUCAAGCCGCAGCUCGCUCGAGCAGCAUCUCGAGCGAGGCUCGAGCGAGCUGCAGCUGUAGCUGCUCGAGCAGCAGCUCCAGCGAGCAGUAGCUCAAGCUGGCAGAGCUGCUCGAGCAGCAGCUCCAGUGAGCUGCAUUAGAUAGUUUUUUAGUCCAAAAUGCUAUCUUCUGUUUGAAAAAUUCAUUUCAAAUCGUUAUAUUUGUUUCCGGUAUCUGUAAUGUCCAGUGACUGUGAGUAUGCGAUCUUCAAUAGUAACUCGAAUAUUAUAGAAUGAGUUGCUAUUCUGGAUAAUUGGUUCUGAAUCACAUGAAUAUGUGUGUGUGUGUGUGUGUGUGAGGGCCAGUUACAGUGUAUUCAAGUUAAGAGGUCGUGGUGGUAAUCAUCUUUUGGUCCUUUAACGUCGAAGGAUUGUUGUUAGAAAUGAAAUUUUACUGCAAUUAACAACUCUCUUGCAUUUUGAUUUUGAUUAAUGCUAUUUGCUGCCGAUACAUCCGGCAGGCUUAAGUAUUUUAAUUUUGAUUCUCAGUGACGAGUUUGAGGCCAAAGAGUGCAGUGAAAGUCACCAAAGAUUAAGAUGAUGAUUUGUGGGGAUCCAUAGCGGCACCGGUUCCAAAGAGCGCCUCGAAACCUGACUGUAAAACCUGCCGUAACAACGGAUGACGAUCCAUGGGCUGCCAUAGCCACUCCUCCGCCUACCAUCACUGCCAAGCCUUUAUCGUCCAGUAGAAUCUGAGGAGCUAAACCCACCGCUCCAAAAUUGGGCGCACAGAAUAAACCGGACAUCUUCAUCCGGAGUGUAAAUCAGACAAAUCAAGAAACAAGAACACUAGAAGAAUCUGGGAGCCUGUACAUUUUUGUCUUCGUGGGGGGUGUGGUCGACCAAAUCAAUCAUAGCAAGAAUCGGCACACAUUUUGUUCGUGAUAAGUUCUUCCUUUCUGGCAAAAUUUAUCAUGUGUAUCAUUUCAUUUGUAACCACUUGUAAUGUGAUGGCUCUUUUAGGCCGGACAAACAUUAGUUACUCCUUAACGAAAGCGGGCGCACAAGUUGGUGCGUGUUUGCGACAAUCUGAGUCCCUGUCUGUUCCUCCUGCGUACAGUCAUUGAAUCGCAACUGCGGUUCAGCUGCUUGCGUGAGCAGCUCUUUCGCGCAUUUUGUCUUACGGCAUGUGGUGUUGUGCGAGGUGAAUUUGAUGGAGAUGUAUACUAUAUCACAAGAGAAAGAGUUGACGCCACGGAAAAUGUGAUAAAUUUAUCGCAAAAUAAGUUUUUGACCACUAAAACACAAAUUGAUACAUCCAGUUGAUGAGGGCUUGGAGAUGGGCUUAUAAGGGCACUUUUAUUUGCAGUGGAGGGUUCACAAGAGAGCUCGGUAUGAAAGCCAUAGCCGAUGGCAAUGCAGACCUGGUAUUUUCGUUUAAGGGCGCACAUAUGACCAUGUUGAAAAUAUUUUUCUUCACUCACCAUUUUUCAAAAUUAAAUUGAUAAGCAUUUAAUGAGAAUGAGAAAUCAAUAUCAAGUUUAUAUGCUUUAAAACUAAAAAAUAAAAAAGUACUUGAAAAAAUUUGAUACAAACUUUAAUUACAAAAUUUUCUACGAAAUAUGCCAUAUGAUCAUGUUAAAAAUGUUUUUUUUUUUUUUUUGGUAAAGAGUUAAAAAUGUUUGUCUUCACUAACCAUGAACAAAAUAAAUUUAAUGAGCAUUUCAUAAGAAUGAGAAUUCAAUAUCAAUUUUAAACUUUAUUUAAGAAAAUGUUUAAAAAAAAAAUUAAAACAGAAAUUUUUUUGUCGUUUACCAAACUUGUUUCUGUUCUUUUUAUAUUCUAGGAACAGAAAUUGACUGCAGUUAUUAAACGUGUUUCUGUUCUUUUUUCAUUCCAAGAACAGUUUUUUUUUUUUUUACACUUACCAAACGCGUUCUUUUGUUCAAAAACUGUUCCCCGGAACAGAAACACUUUUUUUAUUUUAUUUCUGUUCAUAGGAACAAAAAAAGAACAUAAGUGUUUCCAUGCGCACCCUUAGCAGUUAGCCCAUGGUACUCAAUCAACCGAUAACACUAUCAAACAGAUAAUGUUCAUUUGGGAACAGAAGAAAUGAAGCAACGUAAGGCGACAGGGGCACAUUAAGGGCGCGCAUGUUUUUAUUUCUAUUCCUUUUAUGUUCCCGGGAACAGAAAUAAAUAAAUAAAGUAUUUAUGUUCCGAUGAACAAUUUUUGAAUAAAAAAACGCAUUUGGUAAACUUGUUCCGGAAAUAAAAAAAUGAACAGAAACACGUUUGGUAAAUUUUAUUCUUUUUUGUUUCUUUUAAUUUUUUAAUAUUUUUAUUUUAUUUUUCAUUUUUUCCUUUCUUUUUUAUUUUUUAUUUUUUCGGUUGGCAGCGUCGCCUAGCCACGGCGAGGCUCGCCGGCCCCCGGUGAGGUCGAGCCUCGCAGUGGUUGGGCGAGGCUCGGCCUCGCCUUAGUUGGGCGAGCUCGGGCUCGCCUAGAUCCAGCGAGGCCGAGCGUCACCGGCCCCUGGCGAGGCUCGACCUCGCCUGCGCACAGCGAGGUCGCCGACCCUCGACAGUGUCGCCGGCCCUCGACGGCCGAUCGCCGGCCAUGGCCGAGGCCGGCGACCGGUGAAAGAAAAAAGAAGAAGAAAAGAAGAAGAAAAGAAGAAGAGAAGAAGAAGAGAGAGAAGAAGAAACGUUUCUUCAAAAUUGUUUAUGGAACAAGAAGUAAGUUUUUUUUGUUUCUUUUUUUUGUUCUUUUUGUGUUCCAGGAACAAAAGAACAAAAAAAUAACAGAAAAAGAACAGAAACGCAACCAAACGCGUUUCUGUUCAUUUUUAGGAACGUUUCCAUGCAGCCCCUAAAAAUGCAGAAUUCUGCGACAACCCAGCAAAAUGGCAUUAAGAACAAGGAGAAGAGCAUGCGACAAAACCGAGAAUUCCGAAAUUAGAACAAAGUAUUUCCUUUUAUUGCCUACACAUUUGGAGCUUGGAUCGUGGAUGUAGGACUCGUCACAACAAAGCCAAUGGCCGCUUCACGGCGAGGACGAACAGAAAUGAUAUAAACCAGGUUUGAUUAUGCCGCAGAUACUUAAGUCAAAUCGAGAAACCUAGGCAGUACAUGACGGCCAAACCGAAGAAGAACAAUCCGGUUCAAGGAGAAGAAAUAGUGCUAAGAAAGAGUCUCCAUUGAGUAUCUUUCUAUGGUUGACUGGAAUUUUUGUGUCUUCAUUCCUAAUACAUUUCUGCUUCUAGAUAGCUAUGUUCUUUUUUUCUUCUCGUAGAAAAUUCGUACUCGCCCAACCGUGCCACAUGUUCCUUUUUCUUUCUCUCUCUCUCUUUUAUAUAUAUAUAUAUAUAUAUAUAUAUAUAUAUAUAUAUAUAUCUUUUUAUAGGGUUAAUAAACAAAGUCUUCAAAGGUUGCUUGACCUAAAAGUCUAAUAAUAAAGGAUCAAUAUUCCCUUUUUUCUAGCCGAAAGGCCAUCUUACAUUGAACGCCAAUUAAAAUGACAUGCUCGCAAAAAUUGAUACUAAACUAAUAUCAUAUCAUCAUGAUUCAUCUUUAGGAAGAACAUGGACAUUCGUGGAAUUUGUGAGACUUUUUCAGGAAGAUUUUUUAAGAUUUCGAAGGUUCAAAAUUGAAAACUGAAAUUUGUAAGAAAUAAAAAUUUAGUGAUUAACGUUUUUUCCCAUGUGAUUAGUUGAAGAUAUUUGUUUUGCAAAUAGUAUGGAUUAGUAGGCAUAAUUCAUUAUGUAAAUCUAAAUAGCUUCUAAAUGUGUCCAACUCAACGUGUCAAUUUUCACAAUGUUAAAAAUGAUAUUAUGAGCUAAAGUUAGCCAAGUAAUACCCGAUGCUUGUCUAUCCAGUAAAUCUUAAUCAUUUUGCUUCAUUGACUCUAGUUUCUUUCUAAGAGGGCUAAGCGCAAAUUUCUCUAGUAUAGAUAAUCCUCAAUCUAUACCUUCUAGAAUUCAAAACUAUUCCUAUUAAACUUGUUGAUUUUCACUUCUUCUUCUUCUUUUUUCCUUCUGUCACCAUUGACUCGCUUUAACUCAAUUAAGUUUGGCUUUGAUACCAAUUAUCGCAAAAACAAGCAAUCAAACAAUAAAAUUUAAGAAUGAGGAAAUAAAUGGAACAUCAUAUUUAUGCAAUUUAGUCGGUGGGACUUACGACAUAGGGAUAUCAGCACAAAAUGUUCAUCAUAGAUCAAGUGAUAAAAGAGAAAUCAUAAUUAUAUUCGAGUCACUUGAACACUUUCGGUGUUUCUUGACCGCAAUUACACCAAAUGAUUCAUAGAUUACUAUAUUUAACCCUCAUAAUUCCUCGCCGAUCUCACAAAAGAAUUCAUAGGUAUCACGACAAGAUUUAUCAAGUUGAACACUAAAAGCUCAUCUUGAAUAUAAUUAAUGAAGAAAGCCCUCUUCGUACAUGUAUUGGAAUUUGAUCCAAAAUAGGAAAAUCCGUUUUGGCAAAUCCAUUCAAACUAUGAAACUUACUUGCCUCAAGAUUUCAUUAAGGGGUAAACUUGAGACAUAUUCCCAACAUGAUGCAGCUUUCAUAUAAUUCUAUCGUGUUGAAGUUUUUCAUCAAUUCUUCAAGAAAAGCUUAGGCUUCUCUAGGAUUAACAUCUCCAAGUCUCCAUUUUUUUUUCAGGCACCAUUACAAGUCCCUAGUUUUACACGUGGUAGUUGAAGUUUGUGGCCAAGUUAAAAACCCAAAAGAGAUCUCCAACAAAUGCAGAGAUAUAUUGCAUGUAUAAGUCGGUGGAUUCAGCCCAUAAAAUAGGCAUGGCUGUUCGGUCAUGUAUACAACAGAGACAAACCAAUUUUUUAUUUAUUCAUCAGCUUCUAUAAUCCUAUCUCAAUAUUCCUUUUCACCCUUUGCUGUGUUUUCCCACAAACACUCAUACACCACAUUUUCACAUCAAAAUCCACAUCAAAUACUGUUGGAAAAAUAUGGCUUCGAAUCAAUAGAGCAAUCAAGUUAGACUUUGAAGUUUGAUAUCUCUUUCUUUAAGGAUUUAUUUGCCUCACAAAUUGCUAAUAGUCACCGGCAAAUAUCUUCCAAGAUACGACAAAGUUCCAAAAUAAGAAUACUAGAUAGCAAUUCCAAUAUUACUCCAAGGUUUAUUUAGGAAACAAUUGAAAAAAGAUGGUUGUAAUUUUGGAAAGAAGACCCAAAAAGAAAAAUGAUCUCAAAUUAUUCUUCUGGAAAACUAACAUGUAUCUAUAAAUCGAUUUGAAAGAACAUAGGUAACUCUUCUUGAAAAAUUGCAAAGUAAACGAAGGUAUUCUUUCGAAAAAAAAGUUGCCCAAAUUAACAAAAGUAUCCAUUCGGAAGAUAUUGAAAAAUGAACAAAUGCAACUCUUCGGGAAAUGUUGCAAACUGAACGGGUAUCAUUUUCAAAGGUUGUCUUGAAAAGACAUAAAUAAAAAUUCGGAAUAAAAAAUAAAAAAUUAUUAUUUACUUUUUUAAUAAAUAAAAUUUUCAAUUUUCAUAAUUUCUGAAAAUUCUCAAUAAACAAAAACAACCUUUGAACUAAUUAAAGUUAAUAAUAUAACCGAAUGGAAUACAAAUAAAUAAAUAAAUAACAAAGGGGUUAGUGCUAAGUGUAUCUAAUAAUCACACACUCGUACGCGGGUAUGGUGGGUUCUAGUUCACACCUAAUCUUUUCUUUAGAUACACUAAAGAAACCCCACACUUAUUAAUUAGCCAUUUAUUCCCAGUUUUUCUUUCUAAGUGGGUGUGACAUCCAGAAUUUCUCAACCUAUUUUCUACUGAAUUAAUCGGGCAUUUCGUUGAUGUGUUUAUAGGGCUAUUCUCAGAGCCGAUCGCUCUUGAGAUAACUAGACUGUCUGGGUAAGUAAUUAAGAAAAUUUAAGGCACUAAACUUGAGAGUUCGAUCAAGAAUCGGCUUCUCGACUGUGCUCAUCUUUAGAGGCCAUUGCGGCACAGUUAAAAUCGAUUUAAGAUCAGAGAUAGGUCUAUUCGACUGAGAUGUAUGGCCGAUCGUGGGUGACUUCACUAAAUUGGAAAAUUCUCAUCAACCGACACUAAUUUGAUUUUACUGUCGUUCUGGUACCCUGUGUCCGUAAUUGAAUCCUCAAGAUUUUCACGAAUAUCGAGAGUCGUCAUUGAGUCGAAUGGGUUCAUAGUGGAUCAAAGAAAAUCGACCACGGGUUAUGUGUCUUAAAACGUUCUGAAAACCACCUGGUAGCCUAGGUUACGCUCUGAAGGCACCAAAGGAAAUUAACCAUCGAUUGAAGUCCGAUGUCAGAAUUGAUGGUUCUGUCAUGUCACAAUNNNNNNNNNNNNNNNNNNNNNNNNNNNNNNNNNNNNNNNNNNNNNNNNNNNNNNNNNNNNNNNNNNNNNNNNNNNNNNNNNNNNNNNNNNNNNNNNNNNNAGACUUUUUGGGAAAGUCAGGUUAUGGCCGUUUUCAUUCAAUUGAAGCCGGGAAUUGAUUUUGUUGGCGAAAUUGAGAAGCAUGGGGGAUUCUUGGAUAAGGAAAUUAAUCAAUUUGAUAAUGGAAAUAUCAAUUGAUUUUUUUGUGAGAGUUAAUUGAGAGAAAAUCAAGAGGGAAUUUGGAUGCAGAAUCAAAAGUGGGGACCGAGUGCUCUAGUUGGAAAUUCUUUUAGGAAUAAAUGAGCUAAUUCAAAAGAAAAUGGGAUGAGAAUUUCCUAUAUAGGAAAUUCUUUUUAAUUCCCUCCCAUUUCCUUUUUCUCUUUUUCCAUUUUUGGCUAAGCACCAUUUGGUUCCUUUUAUUUUCCUAUUCUUCUUUUCCUUUGGCCGAAUCUCUCUCUCUCUCUCUCUCUCUCUCUCUCUCUCUCGUGCGAAUUACCCCCUCCACCAAAUGCUUGGCUGUCCCCCUCUUGGCUUUUUCACUUUGACUUUUCAAACUUCUUCACUCUUAUCUCUCUUCUCUCUCUUUCCUUUCUCCCCCACUCUCUCAUAACCGACUCCUCCUUUCUUGCUCGUGCUAACCAGCGAAGACAGCAAAGUAGAAGCAGUAGCCACCGUCGUUUGAAGAUCGGAGCUGCUUGCCGUCGCCGCCCAUGCUCCGCCACUGCACGCCACCUCACUGAACCGCCAACCGCACCACCGCCUGGCCGUGUGUGCCGCUUUCCCCUGCAACUGUCACACCCCGAUCCUCGGCACGCACACAUCCUUCUCUUGGUCAUUUUUAAUAUGCGAUCCCAAGACUAUAUAUCGCCAACCCUUUAAUUUAUUAAGCACAUGCGAAAGCAGUUAUAACUCCCCAGACAAUAAAUCGAUGGGAUAGAAAAGCAGGGCCAUAUUUUUCAUAUUGAAACUUAUAACCAAACUUUUAUACAAAACACAAACUAGAGCACUUCACAACUUUUUACUCUAAACUCUAUUCACAUCAAAAUGGAGAUCUCAAAAGAAGAUAGAAUCUUAGUCCAUCUGGGCUGUACUCAAGGCCCCUCUCGGGAUUAUCUUCUUCUUCCAAAAAUCCUUCUCCUCAAGUUUCACCUCCGAGUUCUCCUUCUCGGACUCCUCCUCCUUAGCUCCUCAACGGGGUCCUGAAAUGAUUUCCCCAAACCAGGAUGAGACUAUGUCUUAGCUAGUUCUACCCCCACUAAGGCUCGAUUAGUAAACUAUUAUACUAUAGGCUGCCUAAACACGCACAGGGUAGAGGACUUACCUUAGUCUCAGAUCCCACCUGCAAAUCAGCACAAUUCACAAUAGGCACUCAUUUACUCCAAACAAAUUGAACUAAUCGAUUACAUGUCACACAAAUCAUUCCCCACUGAGGAGUAAUUAAAAGCUAGGCCACGUGCAUUCUCCAGGACGACAUUCCAAGUCUCCAAGCCACGUGCCUAGAACCUUGGGCCCACGUGCAUUCUCUAAGGCGACCUCUUCGCCAAGGUGGUACAUCAAGUCACUGAGCCACGUGCCCUUUUAGAUGCUAUUUUCGAAUACUUGACCCACGUGCAUUCUCUAAGGCACUAGUUCACCAAGAUGGCGCAUCAGAUCACCGAGUCACGUGUCCUUUUUACGAUGCCCAGGCCCACGCGCCUUCUCUUAGGUGCUAACUCACCAAAGUGAUGCAUCAAUUCACUGAGCCACGUGUCCUUUUAGAAACCAUUCAGGAACGUCGGGUCCAUGUGCAUUCUCUAAGGCACUAGUUCGCCAAGGUGACGCAUCCGAUCACCGAGCCAUGUGCCAUUUUAGAUGCCAAACUCUGUCACCGAGCUAUGUGCAUUCUCUUAGGCGAUCUCUUUGCCAAGCUGACAUAUUCAACUACUGAACUCACAUGCAUUCUCCAGGUGAUAUUCCAAUUCACUGAGCCCACGUAUUUUCUUUCGGGUAAUUACCAACUUACUUUCGAUACCGACAACCAAUGCCCAACGAUUUCUCAAUCAAAUAAUCAAAUCAACUAAAUAAAGACAUUCUAAAAUUCACAAUUUAAAUCAAUUCCAUACAAAUUGCAGCUCAAUUAAAUAAAUGGACUGCACCACAACAAUCAGCACGAGAUUCCGGUCGUCGGCCAUCUCAAUCUUAAUUUCUGAAAAAUAAAUAAAUAAAUAAUUAAUUUCGAAAAUUAAUUAAUAAAUAUUAAUAAUUCAAUUUAGCUCAAAAUAAAGCCCAAUUAAGUAAACGGACUUCAACACAAUCACCACCAUAAAAUUCUGGUCACUGGCCAACCUAGUUGAAUUUUCGGAAAAUAAAUAAUUAUUUAAUUUAAUUCCGAAAAUUAAUAUUUCAAUACCAAAAAUUCCCCUUAGGCCCGAAAAGCCUAAUUGGAGCCCACUAAGGGUUGGGAAAAAUCACGAGACACUUUCAAUAAAUAGUAGACCACGUCUCCUUGCCAAUUGCACACUCAAUUUGGCUAAUUCGCAUCACAAUUGACUAAUAAACACUAAUCCAUACUAAUCUAACCACCUAAACCUAAUAAAUUAAAAGUAAACCAACCUUAAGCAUAAUUAGCCAACUAAUCAGAGAUUAGUGAGAUUACUCACCAGAAUUGUGCGCAAAAUGUAUCAAUCUGACAGGGACGACACGAGGAACGAUUUUUCCCAAAGCACGGCUCGGGUUUGGGGCCCGGAAAUGGCCCAAAAGCGGGCCCGAAGGUGCUGGAAACGCACUUCGUGGGUUGCUGUUCUUGGCUGGCCGGAGCUAGUCCGCCGGCCAAAAUAGCGAGGCGGAACCGGCGAAGGGUGAGGGGGACGCCGGGGAGGUCUGGCGGGGUCGAACGACGGCCGGAGGUGGUCGGACGGGGGCUGGACAGAGGUUGGGCAGUGGCUGGAUCGCACGGGGGAGCACGCUUGGGCGCGAGGGACGGCCAGCGGAACGUGCGGCAAGCGGCGGCUUCGGCGAGCUGCUGGUUUUGUUCUUCCUUAGCUUGCUGGUUCGCACGCGAAGAAUGAAGAAGAAGUAGAAGAAUUCGGUCAUGUGGGGUGGGAAGAAGAGAGUGAGAAGAGAGAGAAGAGGGAGAUAAUCAUUGACCGGUCAAAGAGGGAAAAAGAAAGAGAAAGAGGGCAGGCGGUGGGGGCUCGCACGAAGGGGGGAGAAAAUAUUGGGUAGGUUUUACACUCCAUGUAGGCGAAAUGUAAGACCAUAGAGAAGUCGACAUGUGGCAAAUUUGAGCCCACCUGUCAGGCUCCACUUCUCCGUUAACGCUUCGUCUCUCUCCCCUUUACUCUCUCCUCCCCUCCGUUUCUGCAACAACUCUCUCUCCCUCUUCUCUCUCUACUUCUCUUUUUUUUUUUUUUCUGCUUGCGACGCUCUCUCUCCCUCUUCUCUCACUACUUCUCUUUUCUCCAAGCACCGUCGGACUCGUCAUCGUCCUCAAGCAAGACGAUUGUCAAGGCGGUGGCGGCCACUGUGGCCAGCUCGCUAGUCGUCGCCACACCGUUCUUCUUCGCAAUCCAAAGGCGGAGAUGCCGAAAGGGUCCGGACCAUGGAUAGGCGAAAGCGGGAGGCUUCAGGUCGAUGCCUCGUGGGGACUUUGGGCAAUUCGGAGGGCAUAUGAUCAAAGGGCUCACAAGCACGCCGACACUCAUACAUGGCUGUCACAACCGAGAAAAUAUUCAGUGGUUAGUGCGCGCCACGUCAUCCGCUGACCUGGUGCGCACUAACCAAUGCAAUACCGCCACGUGUCCCCGAGCGGGACCCGCUGAAAAAGGAAGGUGCUGGUUUUUGAUCUCGGCUCGGCUCGGCUCCACCGACGGUCAGCUUAUUCCUCCCGCUCAAAAUUUUUUCUCUCUCCUCACUCGAAUUUGUAGGGUUUUUCUCCGUCUCCUCUCUCGCCUUUCUCACUCUUCCCUCCCCCCCUCUCUCUCUCCGACGAACAAGACGCCUCCGCCUCUCUGUGCCACCCCUCUCCGCCUCCUCUCUGUGCCACCCCUCUCCGCCUCUGCCUCCGCCUCCGCCUCGGUUCCUUUCCUUCUCCGUGCAUCCCUCCGCCUCCGCCUGGGUCGCUGGUCAUCUGCCUCUGGCAUCUCGGUCUCGUUCCCGAGCGGCACCAGGCCCCCCGCCGCUAACCGGGCGCUGUCCUGAUGCUGGCACGCUCUGUCGCGAGGGAGAUCUCGGUGGACUUGGGCGGGGUCGACGGCGCGGCGAAGAAGGAGUGGCCUGCUGCAUUUUCUCUCUCUUUUCUCGGUGAUUUCAGGCUUGACGUCGAAGCAGAGAAGGAGGAAGAACAAGAACGAGAUGAAGGAGCAGAAGGAGAAGAUGGGUCCUUGCUUUUCUGCUUCUGGGUUUAUCUCUUGAAGUUCCCUUCUACCAUUUUCCGUCAGGUAGAGGAAAGCCACCGUUUUUCCAUCUUUUUUUCGUCCUUUUUUGGUUCGUUGGUUUUUGAUGGGAGGGACGGUGUUUGUUUCUCAAUUCUGUGAAUUUUUUUUAUGUUUGGAGAGGUUGGGUGUUAUGAGUUGCUUGUUUGGCGGUUGUUUUAGCGAUGAUCACUCACCGGUUGUUGGGUUUUGUGAUUUGGAGGGAUGCUUUGCGUUGGUUUGGAUCGAUCACCGUUGCUCGGCUCUCAGGUUGUGUCUGUCCGUCUGAUUACGACGAGUUUGAAUCAUUGUGGAAUUUUCCCAAGAGUGUGUUCUCACGUUCACUAAGUCUAUUGCUGUGUUGUUCCCGUUGGAUGGUAUACUGAGUGUCAAUGCCUGUUGGUGGAAACAAAGCUUGAUUUUUGUGGAUUUGUCUGGGAUCACUCCUUUGUAAUGCAUCAAGUCUUGUUUUCUUUUCUGUCCCCUAUCGCGAUCUAUCUUGGUUUGUGACACAAUGGACUAGUCGAAAAUGGUGAUUAAGGGAUGAUGUAUACCAUAAUCACAAAUAGUGUUGCCUGUCACUUCUCUUUUCAGCUCAAAGUUCUAUGGUUAAUGGGGUUAAAAAUAUUCUUUCACACAGGUGAACUCAGAUGUCAAGGAUGGUUUUCCAAUUCUCGUUUUGAAUGGAGAUAUGAGACUAACGCUUCUGCCACCGCUUCCUCCACAAAAAGAAUCUCCUGUCCCGAGCCCUCUCACUCACCCCAAGUGCCCGCCCCCCCUUCUCUCUGUCUCGAGCCCUCUCACUCACCCUAAGCGCUUCCCUCCUCGCCGUCAUCGACUUUCCAGCUGCGGCUCCAGAAAUCGCCGGCUGCCGACUGGCCUCUCGACCUUCUGUCUUCUACUCCUUAUUUGGUCCCCAUUUCGGGCUCGAGUACGUAACCAAGGAUUUUGAAGCAAAAGAGGUUUGCGAGGCUAUAUUGGUGGCGGUGCUAAGUUUUGGGGUUUCGGCGACGCCAUGACAGCCGCGGGGAAUAUUGUGGUGGAGGAGAGAGAGGCGUAUGGGUACUGUGAGACCUCUCUUUGUCCUUUGGCUUUUUUUUUCUUUUCUAUUGCCUCUGUUUCAGGAAGCAUGGAGGCUUGGUGAUAGUGGCUGCUUUGGCUUCUAGGUCGAGGCAAAGUUGGAUAGCUUAUCAGGAGGCUGAGGGGGAGAGUUCUUCAUCGGCCCUUUUGACUCCUGAAGCAAGUCGUGUCCCGCCAUUCCCACCGGAGUAUGUUCUACCGUCAUCUUUUUUAUCAUUAAUCUAAGUGGAAAGUUCUAGUGUGGAGGGUUAAGCUUCUUAUACUGCUAUCUCUUCAAUAGUUUGUGAGUUUAUUAAUUCCGUCCAAUAAUUUUCAUCUGGAUGAUCGUCGCCGGAUGGAAGACGGUAAAUACAGGUUAUGUUUGAUCAAAACUUGAUGGCUAAGGGUUGAAAUUCUCCUUUUCGUUUUGUUUUACAUGGGUAGACACUCAACUCGGUUAGAUUGAAAGGCAUACUAGCUGUGUAAUUCCUUUUGUUUUUUUUAAGCUUUUGCUUGGAAACUUGAAUAAGGUCAUUAUUUCAGUGGUGGUAUUGAAGCUAUGAAUAUGAGAAGUCCAAGAUAUUUGAGUGUUGUGACAGACCAUUAUUAUUAUUAUAGCUUCUUAUUGCAUAUUCCUUCCAUGUGCAUAAGUUAUUAACACUUUUGUAGUUUUUCAAUCCUGUGACAUCCUGUUUGGAAGUAAGUUGAAGAUAUAAAUUUGAAUCAAACUUGGUCGCUUCACCCAUAAGUUGGGAAUUAUGGUUGAAUCUUGAAAUUGUGUUAUAUCAUUAGUUGUCUAGGAAGCCUGUACUAAACUGGCCAUUCUUUUGAUAUCCUGCCCAGGUAUCUCCCUCUGCAUAUCUUAAGUUAAUUUUAGACUUGGUUCUUGCUAGAAGUGAAAAUGAAAAUUGUGCAUCAUGGUUGCUUGACAUGCUGUGUUUUGACACUGCUAAAAACCAAUUUUAUGUAUGUAAAAUCAAGUAGCCGGAAGGUGUUGACUAUGUUCUGAUGGCAUCCAAAUUCUUCCUCUUCAUAAUCCUGCAAUGUCACAUAGGAUACAGCUACUCAAGAUCAUUUGUUUAUAGCACGGGUUGUCCAAAACUUUUGGCUGGAGUAGUCCAUAUGGAUGCAUGCAAACAGCCAUGUCCAUGUGCAUGAGGGUACAUAGACUUUUAUUACAUUUACAUUGGCAUGGAUGAGAACUACUUUUGCUGGAGCAAUUAAGAGAGUUGUGAUUAUAUAACCAUGGGCAAUAUGGUGUUCCUUUGCACGAUUUUAAGGCAACGGAAUAAUUGAAGUUAACUAUUAGUUUGGUCACAGGACUAUCCAGAAUCGGAGACAUAAAAUGCACUUAAUAAAAGCAGAUGGACACAUAUAGCAGAAACGUUUCUUGUUUCUUCUCUCUCUCUCUCUCUCUCUCUCUCUCUCUCUCUCUCUCUCUCUCUCAAUCUGAAUGCCCCAAGCGCCAUUCACACAUUUUUCUACUGGAGCAUCUGACCACCAUGCCAUAAUGAGGAUAUUUUUCAGUGCUUUUGGAAAUUGGUGUACGCAACAGAGAAUUCUGUAUUUUUCCCCUCUCAUAAGUAGGUCUUUCUGUUAGAGGACAAGCUAGGUUGAUUUGUCAUGGAAUAAACUCUCUCCAAAAGUAAGGGGUAAGGAUAAGUACAUCUAACCAUCCCUAGAACCUACAACUUCAGAGCCUUGUGCACGGGGACAUCUUAAUUUUCCUCUUAAAAUAAGUAGGCCUUCUGUUGUGUUGGUCCAAUUUUUUAACAGGUUAACCCUUUAAUUUUUCCCGCAGGACUACAAUGAAGAUGGGAAGCUCAAAUUCUCCGAAUUUUCUGACUUGAUGAAUGCUUUUGGAAAUCAAUUGGCUGCUGACAAGGUUAGAGUCAGUUGUUGAACUGCAUCAAUAUUGGCAACUUUUUUCUCCAUGUUUCAUUUGUAGGACUCAUAAACUUAAAUUGUUUUCUGUGUCAGAAUUAUGUUUGGGACGGGAAUUGAUGUAAGGGUACUUAUUGUGCACUAGCAUACAUACAUAUGUACUUGCAUGCAUAUUUGUCUGGUUGCAUAUGUAAAUGCAUAUACAUGAUGUGCACAUAAAAGCAAAAUGUGUGAUGCAGCACACAAGCAUGCAUACAUGAAAGAAAUUGAUGGACAUAUGCAGCGACAACAAAAAAGUUACUUGUUUUAGUCUAUGCAACCAUCCACGAGGAUAACAAGGCUCACUUCCAUCAAGAAAAAAUAAUUAUCCUAAGUUUAAAACAAGUAACAGGGAAUAUUCUACAUCAAUAUAUGUAUAUAAUUUUCAUAGAUUUGAGGUGUUUAGUAUUAACAGUCAAAUCAUGAGCUCCACAAGCAAUAACCAUUGUAGACACGCCCUAUAGAAUAUCUCUCACAUUCUUAAUCUAAAACCCAUUUAGAACUGAUCAGAGGCUGCAUAUUAGUAUUUGAUAGCUUGGCCAAAUGUAAUCAGUGCUUGUGCAAAGAUAUCUAUGUUGGAAAUCUGCCUACUAGAUGAAUUCACACAGAAUGAUUGUUCUGUAACUAUAAGUAAGGAGAAAAUAUGGGCCUCCAUCUUUCAAGAUUCUUGCUCUUAAUGUUUUUUAUGAUCACUUCUGUUUUUGUAGGUGGGAGAAAUAUCAACGUGAGGAGGAAGCAGCUCUUGGUUUAAGAAAGCGUGUCAGAAAAGUUGUUUCGUAUAGAGAAUCAUAUGUAGCACAUCCAAGUGAAAUGGCCAACGAGGUGUUUUAUCUGAAUUGCUUUCUCUUAUGCUGUUAGGGGUGGAAACUUUAGAAUAAGAGAAGCGUAUGUCGAUUGUUCAUUUGAUUAAAAGUCACUUUUAUUUAUUUACUUCUUCCUAAUAACUUCAGCUUUAAGCACUAACUAUUGUUUUGGACAGUGCAGUUCAAUAUGAUGCAAAUUUUGGGAGAAAUUUUAAAAGGUAAACUCACUUUCUUGGAUAAUAAUUUUCAUAAGAACUUGAGUGCAAGACACCCAAAUUUCUAGCACAAAGGAUUCAAUCCAUAAGAAUAAUUACAUGACCAGCUCAUUUUUGUCGCAGCAACACAUUGUAUCUUUGGAAACUCUUAUGCUGAAUUCAUUAUGUAAUGGCAAGGUUGUUCAUGGUGGUAUGUUGAGCUUGUAGCUGGAGGAAGUAAAGUUCAUGCUUGCUGCAAAACCAAGAGUCAGAACAAAAGUAGGAGUGACCCAUAUAUAAGUGGGUAUGGCAUUUUCUACUAUGACUGAAAUAUGCACAUUUUACAAUCUUUUGAAGUCACUAACUUACGUUUGUACAAAUUUUUCGACAGAUUAUUGUGAGUAUUCUGCUGCUAGCUCAACUUGUUCUAAGGAUAAAUGGGUAUGACUCAUUCUUUUAGAAUUAAAGUUAGUUUUCCCUUUAUCUGGCUUCUUUAUAUGAUUGGAUUUUUUCUUUGAAAAAUUUGUAGAGGCCGCAGAGGAUAAUAUCAUUGUGCAUAAUGUUGAUAAAGAAUUUCAAUUUAGAAUUGGCAUGACAUUUGCUAAUGAGGAAGAAGCAUAUAAGACAUACAAUGCAUAUGCAAUUUCCAAGGGAUUUGGAGUGAGAAAAGGAAAAAAGGCUAACAAUAGUAAAGGAAUAUUACGAACAUGCACAUAUCUUUGUAAUUGUGAAGGACACUCUCCAUUGAUCCCACCUCAUGAACAAAGAGAUGUUUAUAGGACUGUGAAGAGAACUGGAUGUGAAGCUUGUAUAAAAUUCAAAAUUGAAAAUGAAGUAUGGAUAGUGGACAAGUUUAAGGAUGUUCAUAAUCACCCUUUCAUCGAUGAUAAACAGAAACACCUCAUACGAUCAUACCGGCACAUGACGAAUACUAAUAAAAGUAUUUUGACUUCUAUGGCUGGAGCUGGUAUAAGGGCUACAAAAUCAUACUCCUAUCUUAGUGGUGAAGCAGGGGGACAGGAGAAUAUUGGCUUUAUUUUACGUGAUUGUCAAAAUUUCUUACAAUCGAAGAGAAGGAACUUGAUUAGUGCGGGUGAUUGUCAAACUCUCAUUAACCAUUUUAAUUGCUUACAAUCAAAUGGAAGUAAUUUUUCUUAUACAUUUCAACUGGAUGAAGAAUAGAGAUUAACCAACUUUUUCUGGUCUGAUGGUGUAUCGAAGCUAGACUAUGAAAGUUUUGGAGAUGUUGUGAUAUUUGAUACAACUUAUCGUACAAAUAAGUACAAUAUGAUAUGUGCUCCUUUUGUUGGAUUGAAUCAUCAUUGGAAGAAUCUCUUCUUUGGUUGUGCAUUUUUAUCGGAUGAAAUAAUUGCUUCUUUCGUUUGGGCAUUUCAAUCUUUUUUAAAGGCAAUGGGUAACAAAGCACCCAAGACUAUUUUCACCGAUCAAGAUCAUGCCAUGGCGAAUGCCAUUAAGACUGUUUUUCCAAAUACUAAUCACCGUUUAUGUGUAUGGCAUAUUGGGAAAAAUGCUACGCAUCAUAUUAGGCAUCUUCUUGGAAAGUCGGGUUUUCGUGAUAAAUAUUGGCAUAAACUUUUAUAUCAUUGUGAAUCUGAAUUGGAAAUGGAGAAUAUUUGGAAAGAUAUGUGUCAAGAAUGGAGCUUAGGGGAUCACAAGUGGUUGAAUAGCAUGUACCAAUUGCGUAAUAAUUGGUGUCCUGCGUUUUGCCGAGAUACUUUUUCUGCAGGAAUCAUAUCCACACAAAGAAGUGAGAGCACAAAUAAUAUCUUCCAAGAUAUGGCAUGCAAGACUAUGACUUUGUCUGAAUUUGUCGGUCAUUAUGAGAAACAAGCAGAAAAAAUGCGCAAUUCUGAAGUUGUUGAUGAUUUUGAGUGCGCUCGAGGGAAGCCACAGAUUGCAAUCGGAACUAGUGGAAUUUUGAAACAUGCUGCAGAUGUAUACACACAUGUCAUUUAUAGAAAUUUUCAAGAUUUCAAGAUGCGUUCUUGCAUGUUUUAUCCGUGUUUAUUUAUAGAUCUGAAACUGAUGGACCAUUGCACACUUAUGUCGUGGCAAAUGAAAAUAGUGAAAAGAGGCAUAUUGUUCAUUUUAGUCCGAGUGAUUUAACCAUUACAUGUAGCUGCAAGUUAUUUGAAAUGCGAGGAUGGUUGUGUAGGCAUACUUUAUGCAUUUUGGCAAAUGUUGUAAAUCUUAAAAGUAUUCUUGCACAAUACAUUUUGAAGAGGUGGACAAAAGCAACAAAACAAGGGGUUCAUUGUGAUGUUGGACAAAGUUCUCAUGCUGCGGUAAAGUCUAAAACAUUGCGCUUGAAGAGGUUGAUGCAAUUAUCUUUCAGUGUUAUGAAUAUUAAUGCACAUCAUGAUGUUACGGAGGAGCUUGCGACUACAACCUUGCUGCGUCUUUACUCUCAUAUCACAAACAAAAUGCAAUCUUUGACGGGUAAUGAUCAUAUUAAUUUAUUGGCAAGAAACAAUGAAUCUGAAGAUGUAGAAAACAAUGAAAUUCAAAUAUUUGAUCCUCUUCAAAGAAGACCAAAAGGUAUACCAAAUACUCGAUUGAAGGGUAGUAGUGAAAAGCGAAAGAGAAAAGUGUCUUCAUGCAUUGGAGGCACCUCACAUAAGGUAUGAUACUUGUUUAGUUUUAUAGAAUGAUUUCAUUAAUUAAAAGCAUGAAGUUUAUGAUACUCUCACUUUUGUGCAGGAUUGACCUUCUGUGACCUUCAUCAAACAAUUUUUUGGCUAACUUAGACUACACAAUCUUUGUUAGUAGUUAUCUAUUAUUUUUUGUUCCAAUAUCGGGAUGAACAGCGAAGCUACUAAAGCUGCUCAAAGGUUUCUUUGUAUCUUGUAGCGGCAUUUUGAUGUUUGUCUGUCAGCUGAUGUUGUUGCUCUACUUAAAAAAAACCAACAGUUUGCUUUCACAUACAUGUUCCAUUGCAUUUUAGGAGGUGAAGGAUUUGUUGGCUAACAUGGAGCAAGGAGCAUCAGAACCUCUGCUAGAUUCCUUUCUUCCAGUCAUGAAGGCACUAAUUUCUGAUUCUCUUUUGAAACAUUCUGUUGAGGGUAUAAGAGUUUCUGUAACAUGUUACCUCACUGAGCUUUUGAGGAUAAAUGCACCUCAAGAAAUGUUCAAUGAUGACCAGAUGAAGGUGCAACAUCUGUUAUCCUAAUUUAUAAUGGCUAUGUUGAUGUGGCCAACACUAUUCAAAGCUCCUGGUAGUGGGGGGAAAGAUGAGCAAUUAUAACAAUGCUGUAUUAGAGGUAUAAUCGUAAUUUUUGUAGUAUAAUUUGAUUAUGUUAAUUGGUGCAGUGCUAUAUUUUUAUUAUCUUUUCUUCAUUAGAAAGCCUUUUUUUUUCCCUUCAAUUAAAAUACUGAAGUAUAUCAGAAAGUUUCUAUUGAACAUUUCUGAUGCAAUAAUCAAACAGUAUCGGAACUGCUUCUGCUGCUAUUAUUAUUAUUAUUAGUAGUAGUAGUACUAGUAAAACUGAAAUAGUUUAAAAAGCUCCGCUGAAUAUUGUGGUUACACUAAUUAGAUAAUGUUGACACGUUUUUUCUUACUUUUUCCUAAUUACUACGUGGUUUAAUCAUUGUGCCCUUUUUUAAAAAAAUUUAUGUACUCAUGUAUUUUCUUAAUAAUUUUCAGGAUGCUGGAGUGCUUGCUGAAGGAUUAGUUGGACUUGGAAUAAAGGCCUGGUGGCCAUUUGAUGAGAUGUGAGCACUCUAGACAUUCACUAGCAAUACUUGAUUUCUGUCUUGGUUGAGCAUGUUAUUUGUCAAUCCUCAUCUCCUUCUUUCACAAGGAACUGAAAUUAGGAACGAACGCGACCAGAACAGUACACAAGGAACGAACGCGACCAGGAUGGCGGACGUUGUCGAAGGCGGGGAAUCUUCUCACGAUGUUCAGUCCCUCCUGUCUUCUCCAGACAGGGACUUCCUCGUCCGGAACAACGGCGAUCAGGUGAAACUCAGUUCUCUUCUUUCACUCUUGCUCUUUCACUGGAUGAGGUGAAAGAAAAAGAAUUAUGGGUCAGCGUCCUUGUCCAAGUUCUCGUGGCCUUCGUCUUCGUGUGGGGUUGUUUCGCUGAUCGGUUCUUGAAUUUCGAACUGGGGGAGUCUGUGGUGACGAAGCCGUCGGUUUGUGAUGGCUAAGGUAGCGAAUUUAGUUCAAGAGAAGCUAGAGUUGGUCUGAUCUAGGAUCAUCAUUUUUCGAGUGCUGUCCAUUUGGUUCCUUCAGAAACUGGAUGAUUGGUAGUUGAUGCAUUACUUUUUAGAGAAAGACAUGUUACUUGGAGUUGGAUCGGGUGGGAGCAGUGUAUAUGGAUCCGAUAUUGCUAGAAGUAAUGCUCUUUAGUGUAAAUGCUCACACCUUCGGUGUGGUAUACUUGUUUUGGUGGAGAAGACUGCUGAUUUGCUAACUAUUUAAUGAGCAGUGCGUAAGGGAAGUGCUUCUGCAGUUGGCAUUUGGAUGUGUAUCUUGAGCAUUUUCAGGAUUUUUGUGUGGUGGUCAAGUGAUCUAGUGUGCCUUGAGCGCUGAUUACUGUAUGAAAGAACUCAAAUUAGGAAUCUUUUUGUUCUAUAUCAGGUUAAGGUCGAUAGCUUGAAGGGGAAGAAGAUUGGCUUGUACUUCUCCGCAUCGUGGUGCGGUACGUGCCACCGGUUCACCCCGAUUCUGGCGGAGGUGUACGAUGAACUUUCCCCAAAUGGUGAUCUGGAGAUCAUUUAUAUCUCUGCAGAUAAGGAUGAAGGGUCCUUCAGUGGAUACUUUUCCAAGAUGCCGUGGCUUGCAAUCCCCUUUUCCGACUUGGACAAGCGCAACAGCUUGGAUGAAUUGUUUAAGGUGAGGGGGAUACCCCACCUUGUCAUUCUCGAUGGUACAGGUACGGUCUUAACAGAUAGCGGGGUUGCGAUUGUCCGUGAGUAUGGAGUGGAAGGUCACCCUUUCAUCCAAAGAGUUGAAAGACCAGGAAGAAGCUGCUAGGAUAAAUCAAUCAGUGACCUCUCUUUUGGUCCAUGGAUCUCGUAACUUCGUAGUUUCGUCCAAUGGGAAUCAGGUAAACCUAAAAAAGAUCUUCGAUGCAUUUGAAACUGAUGGUCGCAUGUGCUUAUGAUUCGGUUUUCCAUCCUCCUUUUACUAAUAGUUAUGUGGCUAAACUAGGUUCCUGUUACUGAGCUUGAAGGGAAAACUGUGGGUCCGUACUUCUCGUUGUGCGUGCACAGGGCAUGCGUCGAUUUCACCCCUAAGUUACUGGAGGUUUAUGAGAAAUUGAAGGCCAGAGAAGAGAGUUUUGAGAUCGUUCAGAUACCUCUUGAUGAUGAUGAAGCGUCAUUCAACCAAUCCUCUGGAAGCAUGCCAUGGCUUUCAUUACCAUUCAAAGACAAGAAAUGCGAGAAGUUGGUGAGGUACUUUAAGCUGUCGACCCUACCCACUCUGGUCAUUAUCGGUCAGGAUGGGAAGACUGUCCAUCCCAACGUUGCCGAAACUGUCGAAGAGCAUGGCAUCACAGCUUACCCCUUCACUCCAGAAAAGUUUGCGGAGCUUGCAGAGAUAGAGAAGAAAAGGGAAGAAUCUCAGACCUUGGAGUCGAUCUUGGUUUCAGGGGAUCUGGAUUUCGUCAUUGGAAAGGAUGGAACCAAGGUAAAUUUGUUUUUUCCCCUAGAAGCUAAUGACUAGGGAAAUUUUUAAUGUCUACAAUGAGGUCCUAAAUAUUGUUGUCCCUGGGUUACUUGACCUGAGGAAAGGAUUGAAACCAGGUCCAUAACUAGGAAAAUUCUUUCCAUAUAUGCAGUUUUCACAUGCCUUCUCCAUUGAUUGGCGGUUCAUCUAAAAGGUCGUUUCUUAACUUUGAUUGCAGAUUCCAGUAUCGGACUUGGUAGGGAAGACUGUCCUGCUUUACUUCUCGGCACACUGGUGCCCUCCUUGCCGAGCAUUCCUGCCGGUGCUUACGGAGGCAUAUGAAAAGAUCAAGGCCACAGACGAUGCCUUUGAGGUGAUCUUCAUCUGCAGCGACAAGGACCAAACUGCCUUCGACGAUUAUUUUGCUCCGAUGCCAUGGCUGGCGCUCCCCUUUGGUGUUGAGAGGAAGAAUUUCUUGAGUCACGAAUUCAAGGUCAAGGGGAUCCCCAUACUUGUAGCCAUAGGCCCAACGGGCCGACGGUGAGUAAAAAAGCAAGGGAUCUUAUAAUGGACCACGGGGCUGAUGCUUAUCCUUUUACUGCCGAUCAUCUCAAGGAAAAGUUCAAGGAAAGUAUAAAAGGCUGGCCAGAGAAGUUGAAGCAUCCUUUGCAUGAAAAGCACGAGCUCGUUUCUGCUCAGGGGAGAAGGUACAUAUGUGAUGGCAGCGGUAAGGCAGGGGAGGGGUGGUCGUAUUAUUGCGAGGAGUGUGACUUUGAUCUCCACCCAAAAUGCGCUGUUAAAGAAGAGAAAACGACUAAAAACGAGUUAGAUGAAAGACGAUGAAGCAGCUGGGGAGGAAGCAGAGGAAGGAGGAGAUGCCAAAGAGGGAUGAAUCUGUGAUGGUGAGGUCUGUUAUAAGGCCUAGAAGUUACUGUCUAGUAGUUUCGUUAUAUAUGACUUCUUUGAAGCAGUUCUUUUUUUUUUUCUGGGUGGAUGUUUCCGAGCUUGAUCUGCAAAGGGUUGUAUGUGAGAUAUAUGGCGUGUAUUAUGACUUUGACAAUUUGCUGUCGUAAUAUAAUGUUCAUCGUCGACUAGCCGUGUGCCAAACAGAGUGGUAGGCUUGAAUAGUCCGUUUGUCAUGCAAGUGUCUCCGUCUCUCCUUUUGAUGAUGCAGCUUCGAGAUUUGCAUGCACACUGGACUUAACAGAACAUGUUUAAUCAAUACGCUUUGUAUGGAUCUUUCCUCAAGUCCUGGUGGUUAGUUCUUGUUCAGUUUAUGGUUAUGGUAAUAGGUCCUCUGUUACAUCAGCAGAUGGUGACUCUACAUCUGGAUAUGCUGAUAUAAUUUGUGGCAAUGAAAAGUUACUCAUCCCGCAUUAAUUCUCCAAAGUCUUGCUUGAUGAUCCCAUGCUCCCGGAAUGCAUAUUGCUAGUCUUCUUAAGGAAGAGCGAUCGUAAGAAACAAGACAGAAGAAGUGCUGCAAAAGUAGUUCCUUGCUGAUACUCAAUAGUGAUACUACAUGCUUAUAGAAGCAGUUCGGUUUGCAAGAACUGUCGGCUUUUCUAGGCCGAAUUGUGCAGCUCUCGUUCACGAAAUAGCAUCUGUGAGCAAUGUCUAGUUGUUGGGGAAAGAAGAUGGAUUAAUUCAACUUCCCCUUAUAUCAAACUCAAAUGUAAAUGUCAGGAGCAUGAGACUUGAUGUUCAUAAAUCUUCCACUUCGUCAAAGAGGUAAAAUUUGCAGAUUGAACCAGUACAUUUGACUUCGAUUGUGCCUUCCUUCUUUAGCAGAAAAUGGAACUUGGUACAUUCAAAGACACCGUAUGCUUUCAAUUUCAACAUUUCCACACUUCUUUUUCUCUUUCUCUGGUAAGAACAAAGAAAUGUUGGCAUUAACUGCGUUUCAAGACUAAACCUAAAUCUAUAGAUUUUGAUUGAGUCUAGAAUGUCGAGAAAUGUUUGGAGUCCCAUGUGAUUUACCGUGGCUGAAUCAUAAUCAAGAAAAUGAACCAGUGGUUGAAGUUUAUCCUUUUGAAGACAUGACUCCAUCACAAUUUUAAAAAUUGGUCAUGUGUAAGGUUUUACUUUUCUUUGUACGGUAAGUGCACUUGAAAUCUUAAAUAACAUUUAAAUUAAGAAAUCAAAUUUGGAUAAAAAUAACACCUUUUUAGCUUUAUCAUUUUUGUUGACUACGUUAGCUCCAUGUGAGAGAAAAAAAUAGUAAAAAAGCUAUUCUGUAGUCAAGGGCCAAAAAGAACUUGAACACAGCAUUUUGAUAUUUGAAUAACAAAGUUUUCAAGAUAUCUUCUAACAAUACAAAGAGUGAGAAUUAAGAACCACCUUAUUCUUUAUAACAAUAAUUACAAAUUCAAUAUUGUUCUGAUUUGCAAAACUAACUGAAAGUUAAGUAAUGUCGAUUUUGAUUGUAUAUCUACACACUCAAAAGCUGCAGAAAUUCUUUAGAUCCUCUUUCUUGGCAUAUCAGCUUGGUAUUAAUCUUUGAAAUGUGAGGAUACAGAUCCUUGGAGUUCCUAAUCGUCCCCUCGGUGACUUCAGUAGCAAGUGAUAUAUCUGCACAAACAUUCGAUUAUUUAUAUGCAUGUGCUGUCUCAAAUGCCAUUUACAUAUGCACCAAUACGUAAUUAGUUGUUUAAAUUGAAUAGAAUUGGGGAAACUAAUACCUUGGGCAACCAGGCUUGAUGGUGCAUGGGUCCUCUCCUGGGGACAGAUCUGGCUUACCUUCCGAUGGCUGAACUUCAGGUGUUACAACAGAAUUCCCUCCACUCAAAGACCUCUUGCUUGGAAAAUGGGAGCCACCAAGCAUUCGAAUACAUAUCCCAACCUGAGGGCUACGUGAAACCCAAUACAUAUCCCCAUCGAAAUCCCCCCACCAGCUAUUUCAUCGGCCAAGGAGCGCAGUCCACUAGUAGGGAAAAAUAUAGCAUACUUUGAAUUUCCAACUUUUGUUUCCAGAGCUUCCACAUAUGUAGCGUUCAAAACAAGAAUAUCCCCGAAGUGCAAACCAGGAUUGCAGUAUACUAAUACCUUCCCUGAAAUUUGUCCACUGUCACUGCAUUGAUGAUUCAAGCAAACUAUUAAAUAGUAAAGACACCCGAAACAGCAUUAUAACAUCAAAGCCCAAUAGGUAAUUACACCUUUUCCCCAAAGUUGUGAAUAUCAAACUCAAACGUGGGUUAACAAGAACAGAACCAGAGAUGGGUUGUCAUCAAAGCAAUAUAACACCAUUGAUGUCUAAAUCCAAGGACCAGAUAUGGAGGCAUGUAACUAAAUUAAACAUCUAAGCCCCAGACAAGCAUAGCUACAGUUAUUCUUUAGCACUUUUAAGAAUUCCUGUGGGAUUGGCUGUCCCCAUUAGAUAGUAAGAAUCUGGAAUAGGAAUCCUUCCUCCUUUCAAACUCUUCUUUUCAUCGUUCAUCAGGAUGGACAGACGAUUCUGUAGGUAUGUUUCGUCCAAAGGAAUCCCAGAUAAGAUCAUUCUAGCUGCAGUCAAACCAUCCUUCUUGGCAUGAUUCACCUAAACUGUUCAUACGGUAAAAGAACAAAAGGAAAACACAAGGGAAAAUGUUUACACAUCAAAUAGCAAUUGAAGGAAAUACGCACCCAGGGGAAGUAAAAGCAGCAAAGAUGAAUAGAGAUGCAUUUUUUUACUUAUGCAUAUUUCGAAUCAAGAAAAAAAAAAAAAAGAAGAAGCACAUCCAAGUAUAGAAAAAAAAAAUUGGAGAGAAAUCUCUUUUUGGACUGUUUUAAGAAUAGACAUUAUUUCAACAGUCCAAAUGUUCAGAAGAAUACUACCUCUUAGAGCUGCUCGUUUACUAGAGAUGACACUAUUUGCAUCUCCCAGAGCAUUCUCCACCAUGUCCAAAAGAAAUUCAUUAGGGACCCCGCCAUAGCUUAAAAGUGCAAUCAAAAUCUUUGAAAGAUAUGCAGGCUUUGGUUUAUUACUGCAUCAAUGAGGACCAAGGUCUAAUCAGUUCUUCCGAAAAGGUAAAAUUUGAUGGCAGAAAAAGCUCCAAACAAAAAGCAAUGGGAUUUAGUAAUUCACAAGAAAAACAUGUCCCAUGUUCAAAUUAAACUGCUGAAAGAACAAGAAAGCCGCUAACUUUUUAGUCUGUUUAUGUGAGGGUCUUUUAACCAGCUAACUCCAAAGGAAAAUCUUAACACAAUGAUCAACAAAUCAAUAGCCAUAAUAUGCUGCUAUCACUGGAUGCAGUAUGAACAAAGAUGAUAUAUAUGUGCAGUAGCCAGCAACUACGUUUUAAGGGCAAACUCAGGUUUAAUGAGAUCAUGACAACUAAAUUCAAGUUAUUUUGCCAAGAUACCACCAAAUUAGGAAAAACCAAACCUUUAAGCUGUUCAAACUGCACUCCUCACUUUUCAGUUUUGACAAUUCUUGUCUUUUGCAAGAGCUACUUUAGCCCGUUCCACCUCCUGUUUACAUAUGGCAACACCCUCCUGGUACACAGCAAUUUUUUUCUUCAGCUCAUCUCGUGCUGCUUUUCCAGCUUCCCGACAUGUAUUCGGGCAGUUCACUUUAUCACCGUAUUCGUCACUCCCAUCACAGCAGUCUGAGUAUCAUGGAGCAGGCAAAGAACAUAUGUUAGGAGGAAACAUUAAGAGGAGGCAGAAAAAGAAUGACCACCUGCUAGUUAACCUUUGUCCAGCAGAUGCUAAAAUCAGUGUUACAAGAACUAGAACAAUCUAGUAAUAAAUCACAAGGAAAACUUGUAUACUAGAAUUGACUGUUCCAGUCAACUGUACACAUCUGACGUAUGGAGAGAGGACAAUCAAUACAAAAGAACAAGAGGUGGAGAGAGCUUGUACUGUACAAUUUAAUAUUGAUUCCAUUAUUUAUACACGCAUCGACACAACACAUUGUCAAAAUUGCCUUCUAUUUCUGAGGUAUUCUAUUUCUAUCUACACCUUCAUGAGUAAAAGAAGAAAAAAACCGGCGGAGGCUAAAACCAUCUCCCAUUACCGAUGCGCCUACCCAGAAAUAGAAUGCAGAGAGUUCCAUACCCUCCAAAUCGUGCAUCAAUCCACUAGUCAUGUAGCUACUCCCAUAUGGGUCUCGUAAGUUCCUUUUUCAUGGCGGCUUCUCUUGGAUAGAACAUAAUUGCCAGCACCAAAGAGAAUGUAAGGCCAACUAUCCUGCCGAAUGGUUGGAAAGGAUGAGUCCCCGUUAUCCAAAUGGGGAAGUUGGGGUUGUAGAUCAAAAAGCCACUUGAUUGGAGAGUGCAACUUGAGACUAAUAUCCCUGUGCGGAGCCCAAUUGGAACACAGGCUACCUUCACCGAUUUGUCGAAGCCCGGCCAAGCUUAGUGAUAAGAGCCACAGCCCAGGUAUUGCCCAUGGAGACCUGAAAUGUGGCGGAUAAGUCAAUUAUCUUUGAUGUUGACUCAAAGGGAAGAUCAAGUCAGAAGCAAAUUGAUCAAGUGCAUGACGGAAACAUGAACCAGGUUCCAAGCAGACGUUUUAACCUAAAAGGGAAAGGAUGAAAGAUCACGCUAAGAAGAAAGAACGUUGUCCUCAUUGUAGCGGCUAAAUGUGACAUGACACAAACAGAUCUAAGCCUUUCAAGAAGGCAAGUUUGGCAAGUCAUAAGUUUGCCUUCAUCGUCAGAAUGUUUAUUAUGUAAACUUCUCUCGAUAAAAAAACAAAAAAUUUGCAAGCAUGUUCAAUCUAGAACCAAGAUUUCAGUAAGAACAGGUUAGCAGUGUUGCGUGAUUACUUUAAAAUAGAAAAGGGUGGUCACCAAGUUAAAACCUGAUUUCCAGGAGUGCUGAUUUACUUGUCAUAUUUUGAGUAACAUGCUUUUCCUGGCCCCAAUAGACAUUUUCCCACAACAAAUGAAGAACAGAAAACUGAAGGAGAAAAUCCAAGGACAAAAAUGAGUUAAAAAGUUGGAAGGAACAUGACUUAAUUAAAGCAAUGUACCUCCAGAACAGGGAGAAUGCAAGCCCUGACAAAAUAAUUCCCGGGUGAUAUCCAAGAUCAGCAGCAAUGUCUUCAAUUAACCAUGAUCUGAAAAGCAACUCUUCCACAAGGGCAACAGAAGUUGCUGUAACAGCACCUCCACCAACCAAGAUGAGAAUUUGCCCAUAUGACUUGAGCCUUGUCAUGGCAUCUAAUGACGAUGAAUGAAGACUUGGAGGCCAAGAAAAACUCACACAGCCUAAUAAUGAAUUAACAUACUGUACAUCAUCAACAGGGGCUUUGCUUAAGCAACGAAAAAGAAGGCAAGGCAUAUAUGCCUUGGCAUGGACAUACAACACCAGUCCAGCAACUGAUGACAGCACAAUUGUUUUUCCUCUAACCACAAACAGCACGAUUUUUUGAAUCAUAUAAAAAUCUAUUGAACAACUACAAGAAAACAUAUUUUUACUAAAUCCAAUAGACACAAGGAUGGAAUGGGUGCCCUUAUGGCUUCAAUACAUCCAUGACAAGUCUUGCCUGAAAGAAACAGAUUCUGCAGCACCUUGAAGGCCCCUUUCUGAAAUCUGAGGACAAUCUUCCACCACAAGCAACUCUAACUUUUGUGAUCCCACAAGUGGCUUCAGGCCAUCAUCGGUGACUCCUAGGCACUUUACCAAUCGCAAGGUCCGCAAAGAAGGAAAGUGGAUAACAUGCUGCAGUCCCUCGUCACUUACCUCUUGGCAUCUGACAAACUGCAAGAACUCCAAAUACUGAGCAGAGCACAGUGCCUACGAGCUUGCUUUUCUACUUAUCCAUGUUUCUACCACCCCACUCAACAGUUUCUUUAAGUGUUCCCCAUUCCUUGAGCAGCUUUAGGGCACCCGACAGCCCUAACCCCACUGCAGCUUCAUGAAUUGUCUCAUCCAGAACAACUUCCUCCUCACCCUCAUUAACAGGACCUUCAUCAUUACCAAAUUCUUUAAAUUCUGUCCAGCGUCCAGGCUCAUCUUAUACUUCAUUAUCUGCUUCGUCUUCAUCCAUGAAGACAUCUUCUGUGUCAGGUUUAUGAGAAACUGGAACGAGGGGUAAUGGCACAAUUUCAGUAACUCACUUGAUAAGAAAAUAACAUCACAUAUUCUUUCAGACACCAAAGACCAUAUCAAGCAAUUGGUGGAUAUAACACCGAUUUGAAGAGGAAGUAACUUCAAUUACAUGAAUGAAAUCUCAAAAUUGCAAUGCAAGCCCAAUAUGCAUGUCCCUCUCCCUUUCUCAGUAGAACCAACAUCAUUCUUAGCCAGCAUAUAUCCUGAAAAGUAACCGUGGUUUUAAAACUAAGCAACUCCAAUAUGGCCAAUACAGUUGAAUAAGUCCACUGCUCUUCAAGACAGCAAUCCCCUCGACCAGCGAUUAGGAAUUUAGUUUGGAAGUUAAAAUGCAUCCCAAAUAAACAAGCUACUGUGACUGCAUGAGCAACAAACUGCAAGUUGUAUGUGAAAAGUUCACUUGUUUGCAAGUGGUCCAGGAUGUUGUUCAAUGAGGCGCAUCAAGUGCACUGCUUGUUCGCACAUACACAGAAGGCAAACUCUAAAAUAAGUCACUUACAAACAAUCUUUCAGUAUGCAUACAGUGAAAGAACAAGAAAUGUUGCUCAUUGACCAUCCAAACAAUACCAGGAUUCUAAACUAAACAGCCAACUUAAACUAGUUUUGACCCAAUAAGCAGCAAUGCUACCCAAAUUAGCAAAAGGCAGUAAUUUGAAAAAUCUGGAGAACAAAAUAAGGGUUCCACGGUUCAGAAAGAAAAUGUGAUCGCAAAUUGUCCAGGCCAACACAGAAUUAAUCGAAUGUAUACCUUCAUCAACCUCGAGGCCUGAAACAAAACCUUCUAUUUCUGUCAUGACAACCCUGCUUUCCUGUGAUUCUCCAAUCACAACACUCUGAUUUUCUGCAUUGUGUGCACUGGGAAUACUACUGGCAUGAAGAGCUAUCUCUUUAGGACCAGAAGCCCCCUCCUCUUCUUGCUUCUUUAGAGCCAAUUUCCUGGCUCUCUCUAAAGAUUUAUAAAGAUCUUCAUCGUCAUCAGCAACGACCAUGUUUUCGUCAUUCUCCGUCUUAACAGGAAGAGUUUGCUCCACCCGCAGUAACCUAGAUGCCUCCUCUGCUUUAGCAUAGGCCAAUUGGUAGGCAUUCUUUCUCAUCCCAGCCUCAAUUUUCUCUUGUUCCUCUCUGCUAGCCUGCCUCCUCCCAUCCUUACGUGAUCCAAGAUCUCCAACACCCAACCGUGCUGAAACUGCUUCCACUUCAAGGGCAUCUAAGUCCAACUUCUCUUUCUUCCGUAAGGAUUUCUUUUUCUUGGGCUUUCUGAAUCGAAGCAAUUCUUAUUGAGUGUAUUAAUUGGACGAGGUCUUGGCAGAUGAGGUGAGAUCUUUACAAUGACUAUUUGAAGAAGCACCCUGUAGCCUCCUUCUUAGCUGUAUAUGAAGUACAUGAAACUUUUUUAGAACGACCAAGCAGACCCCAUUCCUAUUCUAACUAAUGCUGAACCACAAUAUGCAUAAAAACUAGUUACCUCUUCCAAUUUCCUUUCAGCUUCAUAGGUCAAACAUCCACUUGAGUCAAGAGUUACUCCUGAAACCAUCAAAAGAAGUGGGAACGCAAUAGCUAGAUAUGACACUUGUAAUCAGAAAAGAGAAAAAAAAACUAACCUCAUCUUGAGCCGGAUCAUCAUAUUGUGGUAGUACUUUCUUCUCUAACGCAGGGUCAUCACUGAAUCUAAAAAUGACAGUGCUAAUAAUAAGUUGAGUGUAUGCAUAUACCAAUAGGGAAAUCGAGAUGCAAGUGUGGGACAAAGACAUGUGACAUGCAAUACACAGUUAAUGCACCUGCCUAACAUCUGGUCUAUGUUUGUCAAACAUAUGAACUUGAUUGAAUCCAUACCUUCUGCAUUGACAUCAAAUCCAGCCCAUAUUGCUUAAGGGGAUAUUCAUACCCACCGAUCCGCUUGCCCCAUAACAUAACAAGUAUCGUAAGAGCAAUGUAAAGGCCAAAAAUGCAAGCAAAAUCAGCAAUUCCGGAGGAGCUAUGCGACAUCCAGCUCUGCACAAGUGUUGGAAAUAGAGGAACAACAACAGGCGACCAGAGAACAAGAACCAUGGCAACGAACUCCCCAAUCCUAAGAAUAUACCGGCAAAAAAUUGCUCAGAAUAUAUAGCAAAUUGCAGAAUAGACUUGGGAACCCAUUCAAACUACAGAAACUAGAAAAAGUGAUAUAAAGAACAUGUGUUUUCAAAAGAAUUCUAAGAUAUCACAUUCCAUGUGCAAUAUCUGUUCCAGGCCAGGGAAGAUUAUUGUUGAUUUCUUAACAUGUGUUACCUUUGCAUCAAAAAAUACAGAUCUCUUAUUUGAAAAAAACUAUCUGGAGGAGCUGUUCAAGAUGGGAAACAAUGUGAGAAUCUGACUAAGUUCCAUGGAUUAUUUUGCCUGUCAGACCACAUUUACCAGAAAUCUUAAGCGACUAAGGGAAGAUUAUUGUUGAUUCCUCAGCUCACACUUUCUGGAGCGACUAAGACAAUGUUCACAUUUACCAGAAAUCUGACACAGGCAACUAUGAUAGCAAAACGAUAAAAAAAAAAAAAAAACACAAGGAACUACAUCCUCUCUUACCACACGGAGAGCAACAACGAACGGAAUUCCAGAACUGACCUUACCGUUGACCACGUCGGCAGCGAAAUUACAGACGGCGUCGAGCGUGCUCUCAAUCUGCACCUUCAGGAUCCAGUUGGCGCGAGGUCCGACUUCCUCAACCAGUGGUGCCCGACCAUGGGCCCUCGUCCGGGUUCGCCAUCGCACCCUUCUCCAGCUCCUCCAUCUCCUUGAACACGGCCUGGAACUGGGGCUCCAUCUCCUCCAUGAACUCGUCCGUGAAGCCGAUCCGGCUCACGUCCAGGAAAAGCCCUAGCUCCCGGUGCUGGUACAGUCGGUUCACGUACCUCCUCCACAGCAAGCGGCAAUCCUUCUCCAGCCCGCGCCUCUCCUUCUUCUCCGUGCCGUCGACCCCACCCAGGUCCGCCGAGAUCUCCCUCGUGACCGAGCGGGCCAGCGUCAGGAACAACGGCCAGUCAGCGGCAGGGAGCCUGGUGCCGCUCGGGAACGAGACCGAGGCCGCCUCCCUCUUGCCGGAGGCCGAUGGCUUCGCGGCAGAGGCCGGCGGGAAUCCUUCUCCAGCCCGCGCCUCUCCUUCUUCGCCGCGCCGUCGACCCCGCCCAAGUUCGCCGAGAUCUCCCUCGCGACCGAGCGGGCCAGCGUCAGGGACAACGCCCGGUCAGCGGCGGGGAGCCUGAUGCCGCUCGGGAACGAGACCGAGAUGCCAGAGGCAGAUGGCCAGCGACGCUUUUGGGCAGGUGCAGGCCGAGGCAGAGGUCCGAAGCCGGAGCGAGAGCCGGAGACGGAGGCGGAGGAGGUGGGAUGCGCGGAGAAGGAAACAGAGGCUGUGAGCGUUUUUUUUCUUUUACGAGGAGAGGAGAGAGAGAAUCCGCCCAUUUAAGUGAGGAGAGAGAAAAAAUUUUGAGCGGGAGGAAUACACUGAUCCUCUUUCGAGCCGAGCCGAGCCGCCCUAAAACCAGCCCUUUUCUCAUUUUCGAGGGGGUCCCGCUCAGGACAGGUGUCGGUAUGUGAGUGGUUAGUGCGCACCAGGUAAGCGGAUGACGUGGCGCGCACUAACCACUGAAUAUUUUCUCGUCACAGCCUGUGCGGGGGGGGGGGGGAACGCAAGGACUUGCUCCAGAAGAUUAGACCCAUCUCCCAAAUGUUCUCUAGGACGACAACCGAACAGGUAGACGGACAAGGAUAGAUGAAAUGAAAAAUAAAAACCCAAACUUUCUUGAAGAAUUUCAGCAGGCGAGGUCGGACGCGGAACUAGGAGGAGGAAAUGAGCAAAUGGGUAUUGUAAACGGACACGUAGGCAUGUCGGGUCGGCUUCGGUUUCCUUAUUUAAUGCGAUUUCAUCACGUGGGUCGUCCUCGCCUGUUCUUGGGUAUUGUUUUUUCCGGUCCACCAUGGAUGACACUCGCAGCCAACCAUGGACAACACUCGCUUGACCUCAAACUCGGAGCUUUGGUUAGCGCUCGAGUUUCGAGCUCGGCCUCAAGCCAUCUCACCGCAAACGAAGCUCAAUGCGGUCUCCAUCUGGUAGCGCACCGUCCCUCCUCGACCUGAAGUGGCAAUGAGCAGACUCGAGCUCGAGCCAUGGCAGACGCAAGAGAAAGAAAAGAGAAGUGGAGAGAGAAGAGGGGGAGCCGAGGGAGUUGUGCGCAGAAACGGAGGGGAGGAGAGAGAGUAAAGGGGAGAGAGACGGAGUUAAGGGAGAGAGUGGGGGCUGACAGGUGGGCCCAAAAUUUGCCACGUGUCGAUUUCUCUAUGGUCUUACAUUUCGCCUACGUGGAUAGUAAAACCUACCCAAUAUUUUCUCCGAAGGGGGAGGAAAAGGGGAGAGGAGAGAGGAGAGAGAGAGAAAAAGAAAAGAGAAGAGAGAGAGAGAGAAAAAGAAAAAAGUAAAUAAUAUUACGUCUCUUAUUCUAUUUUCUUUUCUCUUUCCCUUUUUAUUUUCUUUUGGUCUUCAAUAAUUCCUCCGAUAAUUUCUUUAAUGAAAUUUUGGACUCGUCAAUAAUUUGACGGACGAUGAGACAGGAUCCUAAAAAUGAAUUGUGACAUGCUCGAAUAUUCGAUUCCCGAGACCAAUUUAAAUUUCAUGGUUAGAAUCAAUCAAACGCGAUUUUAGUCCAAUCUAACCAAUUGAGUAGCUUUUAGGGAUUUUACUGCAGAUACAUCCCCUAAUGGCUUCACCCAAUAGGUUAGUUAACUCGUGAGUGAUCAGCUCAGAGAAAAAGGACCAUAGGCACGUUGACAACAUGCCCAUUUCACUUUAUUGAAACGGGAUCAAAUUUGAGGAUGUCACAGCAACCCGGCCCCUGUAGCUUCUGUUUGGCCUCUGUUCAGCCGCCUCUAGCCGUCGCCCAGCUCCGACCGGCUGUCGUGCAGCCUCCCCGGAGCUCCACCCAUCCUUCUCGACCCCUUGCUGCCCCCAUCCCUCUCUCUUUCUCUCUGUUUGCAGCCGAACCAACAACCCACCGAGUGGGUUUCCAGCCGGCUCGUGGGCCGCUUUGGUCUGUUUUCGGGCCCCGAACCCGAGCUGUGCUUUGGGAGGGAUUGUUCCUCGUGUCGUCCCCAUUGGAUUGAUACGUUUUGUGCGCAAUUCUGGUGAGUAAUCUAACUAAUCCUUGCUUAGUGGACUAAUUGCACUUAAGAGUUGUUUAGUUUUAAUUAAUUAGGUUUAGGUGGUUAUAUUAGUAUGGAUUAGCGUUUAUUAGUCAAUUGUGAUGCGAAUUAGAUAAAUUGAGUGUGCAUUUAGCAAGUAGACGUAGUCUACUAUUUAUUGAGGGUAGCCCGGGAUUUUUCCCGACCCUAAUCGGGCUUCAAUUUGAUAAUUCAGGCCUAAGUGGAAUUUUUGGCAUUUAAAUAUUAUUUUUCGGAAUUAAAUUAAUUAAUUAAUUAUUUUCCAAAAAUUCAACUGGGAUGGCCAGUGACCGGAAUAUUAUGCUGAUGAUCGUGGCGAAGUCCAUUUAUUUAAUCAGGCUUUAUUUUGAGCUAAAUUGAAUUUUUAAUAUUAAUUAUUUAAUUUUCGAAAUUAAUUAUUUAUUUAUUUAUUUUUCAGAAAUUAAGAUUGAGAUGGCCGACGACCGAAAUCUCAUGCUGAUUGUCGUGGCAUAGUUCAUUUAUUUAUUUGAGCUUUGAAUUGUGCCAAAUUGAUUUAAUUGUGGAUUUUAGGGGAUUUUUCCCAAAUUGAUUUGAUUUGAGUAAUUGACCGUUGGACAAUUUAAAGUUGAUUGUCAGUGGCAGAGGCAUGGUGGUAGACUACCAAUUUCAGUAGAAAUUGUGGAAAUGAAAGAGAAAAUGUGAGAGGUAUGUUGGCUCGAUGACCAAGAACGUCAUUUGGGAUGAAUCAUCAUGAAAGGCACGUGGCUCGGUGAAUAGUAUAUCAUCUCGGAGAAUGCACGUGGCUCGGUGAUUUGGUAUAUCGCCUCGGAGAAUGCACGUGGCUCGAUGAAUAGUACAUCAUCUCGGAGAAUGCACGGGGCUUGAUGAUUAGAUAUGUCGUCUCGGAGAAUGCACGUGGCUCGGUGACGAAGUGUGUCACCUUGGAGAAUGCACGUGGCUCGGUGAUUGGUUCUAUCAGUUAUGACUGAAUAGCAAUAGCUUGAAUGACUGAGAAAUGGUCAGGCCGACAUGUAAUCGACUAGGUCGAUUGAUCAUUGCUUUGAUUUGAUGUUGUGAAUUGAUUGACUUAAUGGAAAUGACCGUGAGUGGUCUUGUUAGCAUGUAAUCGACAAGGUUGAUUUGAUCGAUGUUUCGAUCUGUGAUGUGAUCGCUUGGGUGUUUAUUUGAUCUGUGCUCACAUGCAGGUGGGAUCUAAGGCCAAGGUAAGUCCUGUUAGUGGGAUAGAACUCGAUGAGACGUAGUCUCAUCCCAGUUUGGGGAAAACAUUUUAGGACCCCGAUGAGAGCUAAGGAGGAGGAAUCUGAGAAAGAGAACUCUGAGGUGAAGUUGAGAAAGAGAAUGAUCUGAGUGAAGAGGGGUCAGAGGAGGAUCAAGAUGAUCUUGAGUAUGACCCAGAUGAGGAUUGAAAUCCCAUCUCUUCGUGAACCCUUUGUAUAUGUGUAGAUAGAGUGAGACUUUGAGGUUGUGAAUAGUUGUGAAGUGCUCUGUCUAAUGCCAUGUAUCAAGGCUCGGUUGUAGAUUUCAAUAUGAAAAAUAUAGCCUGCUUUUCUUCCCAUUGUUUUAUUAUCUGGGGAUUUAUAACUGCUUCCACAUGUGCUUAAUAAAUAAAAUGGUCGGCGAUACAUAGUCAUGGGAUAUCGCAUUCUAAAAUCGACCAAGUAGAAGGAUGUGUGCGUGACCGAGGAUCGGGGCGUGAUAGUGGGACAAGGAAAUAUACACUUAGUUUGUUUUACAAACAAACUUCCAACAAAUACUACUUCCAAUAUCUCACAUGAUAAGGAUAAAAUAGAAACUAGAAACCAAAGGUCCACUUGCAGACAUUACAAAUCAUAGAACCGAAUAGUUGCAAUCCAGAACCCAUAUAAACAGUGAACUUACAUUGUAUUCUGAAGCAAAGAAGAUGAAUUGGAAGACUUAUUGGAAGAGCUAGUAACUGUGAGUGCUCUGUGGUUCACUUCUUCUGAAGCUGCUGGACGAAACAUGCAAUGGUUCGAGCAUCGAAGAUGGAGGCACGAUAUAUGUCAGGAUGGGCAAAUUUGGUGGGAGAAUGGGUGGCGAAGCAUCGAAGUUCAAAAAGGUUAUCACUUUGCUUAUGGGAGGCCGUUCCUUUGGGUCUGGAUGAGCACACCAGAGGCCUACAAUCAUCAAGUGCUCCAUCUGUCUCCCAUUGAAAUUUUCUCCUAACUUUAGAUCUACCGCAUUGAAUAGCUUUCCGAUUCCAUAGAGCUCCCAAACCCAUUCCACAAGUUGAAUUUGGCCUUGCGAUGCCCUGGGUUCGAUAGCUCUUCUUCCACAUGCUAUUUCUAAGAGGACGACUCCAAAACUAUAGACAUCGGAUUCCUUGCUUGCCUUACCUAUAUAGAUACAUUCAGGAGCCAAAUAUCCCAUGGUCCCAGUCAAUAGGGUUGUUUGUGACCCUUUGGCAUGGUCGACUAUCC
rnacentral:lncRNA from 1 species